rnacentral:lncRNA from 1 species
CUAACUUUUCUGCAGGUCGACCUUCAUCAUGGACACCACGUGCAUCAUCUACUUCCAGUGCACCAUCACCUCCUUUAGGUGCCAUCUCCAACCGUGAUACAAGAAAGCAGGCACAACCACCACUAUCUGCCAAGAGCACACCUGCCAGGCCUGCACAGAGCUCUUCUUCUUCCAUGGCGUCAACAGGGCACACAAGUGGUAUUAUUUGUCGUCGUUGUGAGGGAAGAGGACAUUUUGCGAGAGAAUGCAAAUCUCAGCGUGUGAUGAUUGCUACUGAGGAUGGUGGGUAUGAGUCCGCUACUGACUAUGAUGAGGAGACUUUGGCUCUUAUUACACAUGAAGAGCACGGUGGAGAUGAUUCUGAUCAUGAGACGCAAUACAUGGCUGCUCAAGAUGCUGACACGUAUGAAUGUUUAGUUGCUCAACGUGUUUUGAGUGUGCAGGUUACACAAGCUGAGCAAAAUCAGAGACAUAAUUUGUUCCAUACAAAGGGAGUUGUUAAGGAACGUUCUAUUCGCGUCAUCAUAGAUGGAGGGAGCUGCAGCAACUUGGCUAGCAUGGAGAUGGUGGAGAAGCUAUCUCUCACCACAAGACCACAUCCACAUCCUUACUACAUCCAAUGGUUCAACAACAGCGGCAAGGUUAAGGUAACACGUACUGUUCGGGUGCAUUUUAGUAUCUCUACAUAUGCUGAUUAUGUUGAUUGUGAUGUGGUACCUAUGCAAGCAUGUUCCUUAUUACUUGGUAGACCAUGGCAAUUUGAUAAAAAUUCUGUACACCAUGGUAGAAACAAUCAGUAUACUCUUGUUCAUAAGGAUAAAAAUAUUACUUUGCUUCCUAUGACUCCUGAUUCCAUUUUAAAAGAUGAUAUUCAUAGAGCUAAUAAAGCAGAAUAGGAGAAAAAUAAGAGUGAAAAUCAGAUUGUGGCAAAGGAAUUUGAGCAACAAAUGAAACCUAAUAAUAAACCAUCUAGUGUUGUUUCUGAAAUUAAAUUGAAAAGUGCAUGUUUACUUGCCACAAAAUCUGAUAUUGAUGAACUAGAUUUCAGCAAAUCUGUUUGCUAUGCUUUUGUGUGCAAAGAGGCAUUAUUUUCAUUCGAGGACGUGCCUUCCUCUUUGCCCCCUGUUGUCACUCACAUUUUGCAGGAGUUCGCUGACGUCUUCCCACAAGACGUGCCACCGGGAUUACCACCUAUUCGAGGGAUUGAGCAUCAAAUUGACUUAAUUCCCGGUGCAUCGCUACCCAACCGUGCACCAUACCGUACCAAUCCAGAGGAGACGAAGGAGAUUAUGCGUCAAGUACAGGAGCUGCUCGACAAAGGUUAUAUUCGCGAAUCCCUUAGUCCUUGUGCUGUUCCUAUUAUUCUAGUGCCGAAAAAGGAUGGUACGUCGCGUAUGUGUGUUGAUUGUAGAGGCAUUAAUAAUAUUACUAUUCAUUAUCGCCAUCCUAUUCCUAGGCUAGAUGAUAUGCUUGAUGAAUUGAGUGGCUCUACAAUAUUCUCCAAAGUUGAUUUGCGUAGUGGAUACCAUCAAAUUCGUAUGAAAUUGGGAGAUGAAUGGAAAACAGCUUUUAAAACUAAGUUUGGUUUAUAUGAGUGGUUAGUCAUGCCUUUUGGGUUAACUAAUGCACCUAGUACUUUCAUGAAACUAAUAAACGAAGUUUUACGUGCUUUCAUUGGACGAUUUGUGGUAGUCUAUUUUGAUGAUAUACUGAUUUAUAGCAAAUCUUUGGAAGAACAUUUGGAACAUUUACGUGGUGUUUUUAUUGCUCUACGUGAUGCAUGUUUGUUUGGUAACCUUGGGAAGUGCACCUUUUGCACCGACCGAGUAUCUUUUCUUGGCUAUGUUGUUACUCCACAGGGAAUUGAAGUUGAUAAAGCCAAGACUGAAGCUAUUGAGAGUUGGCCGCAGCCCAAAACGGUCACACAAGUGAGGAGUUUUCUUGGACUCGCUGGUUUCUAUAGGCGUUUUGUGCGAGAUUUUAGCACCAUUGCUGCACCUCUCAAUGAGCUUACAAAGAAGGAUGUGCCUUUUGUUUGGGGUACCGCACAGGAAGAAGCCUUCAUGAUAUUGAAAGAUAAGUUGACACAUGCUCCUUUACUCCAACUUCCUGAUUUUAGUAAGACUUUUGAGCUUGAAUGUGAUGCUAGUGGAAUUGGAUUAGGAGGUGUGUUAUUACAAGAUGGCAAACCUAUUGCAUACUUUUCUGAAAAAUUGAGGGGGCCUAGUCUGAACUAUUCUACUUAUGAUAAAGAAUUAUAUGCUCUUGUUCGGACCUUAGAAACAUGGCAACAUUAUUUGUGGCCCAAAGAAUUUGUUAAACAUUCUGAUCAUGAAUCUUUGAAACACAUUAAAAGUCAAGCUAAACUGAACCGUAGACAUGCUAAAUGGGUUGAAUUCAUUGAGACUUUCCCUUAUGUCAUUAAACACAAGAAGGGUAAAGAAAAUGUUAUUGCGGAUGCAUUGUCUCGUCGUUAUACUAUGCUUUCACAACUUGACUUUAAAAUAUUUGGUUUGGAGACCAUCAAAGAUCAAUAUGUGCAUGACGUUGAAUUUAAAGAUAUAUUGCAGAAUUGUAAAGAAGGUAGAACAUGGAACAAGUUCGUCGUUAACGAUGGAUUUGUGUUUCGUGCUAACAAGCUAUGCAUUCCAGCUAGCUCCGUUCGUCUUUUGUUGUUGCAGGAGGCGCAUGGAGGAGGACUAAUGGGACACUUUGGCGUGAAGAAGACGGAGGAUAUACUUACUACACAUUUCUUUUGGCCAAAGAUGAGACGGGAUGUUGAGCGUUUUGUUGCUCGAUGCACUACAUGUCAAAAAGCAAAGUCACGACUCAAUCCUCAUGGUUUAUAUAUGCCUUUGCCUGUACCUAGUGUUCCCUGGGAGGAUAUAUCUAUGGACUUUGUUUUAGGUUUACCUCGAACAAAGAAGGGGAGGGAUAGCAUAUUUGUUGUCGUGGAUAGGUUCUCGAAAAUGGCACACAUUAUACCAUGUUAUAAAAGCGAUGAUCCUGUUAAUGUUGCUGAUUUGUUCUUUCGUGAAAUUAUUCGCUUGCAUGGUGUGCCAAAUACUAUUGUUUCAGAUCGUGAUACUAAAUUUCUUAGUCACUUUUGGAGAUGUUUAUGGGCUAAGUUGGGGACUAAACUGCUUUUUUAGUACUACUUGUCACCCCAAACUGAUGGUCAAACUGAAGUAGUCAAUAGAACAUUGUCUACUAUGCUUAGGGCUGUUUUGAAGAAUAAUAAGAAAAUGUGGGAAGAAUGCUUGCCUCAUCUUGAAUUUGGUUAUAAUCGUUCGUUGCAUUCUACUACUAAGAUGUGCCCUUUUGAAAUUGUGUAUGGUUUCCUACCUCGUGCACCCAUUGAUUUGUUGCCUCUUCCAUCUUCGGAGAAGGUUAAUUUUGAUGCUAAACAACGUGCUGAAUUGAUUUUAAAAAUGCAUGAGUUAACUAAGGAAAACAUUGAGCGUAUGAAUGCUAAAUAUAAACUUGCUGGAGAUAAGGGUAGAAAACAUGUUGUCUUUGCACCUGGAGAUCUUGUUUGGUUACAUUUGCGUAAGGAUAGGUUUCCUAAUUUGCGCAAAUCAAAGCUAAUGCCACGUGUUGAUGAUCCUUUUAAGGUGUUAGAGAAAAUAAAUGAUAAUGCAUAUAAACUUGAGCUGCCUGCAGAUUUUGGGGUUAGUCUCACUUUUAACAUUGCAGAUUUGAAGCAUUAUUUGGGUCAGGAAGAUGAGCUUCCGUCGAGGACGACUUCAUUUAUCGAAGGGGAGGAUGAUGAGGACAUCAAUGCCAUUGUUACACCCACAACCCCUGCUACUAUACAUACUGGACCGAUUACUAGAGCUCGCGCACGCCAAUUAAAUUACUAGGUACUUCCGUUUCUUGGUAAUGAUUCUAAUGUUCAUGAGAAUAUGAUGCUGCCUAAAUUGGAUACAUUUGUUUUGCUUACAAAUGAAGGGCCUAGCUUGGAGAAGGAUGAACAUUGGAGCAAGAACAAGCAUGGAGUUGAUGGCAUGCGCAAGGGAGACAAGAACAGAGUUUCAAGUGAUGAUUUCAGGACUUUGAAGCCACCAUAAUUCGUGCAUGAAGCCUUGGACGAAAUAUACAAGAUGCCACUUCAUAAUUUUCGUCCAGAGGCUAUUCUAGGUGCUGCAUCACCUUAUUUUUGGGCCAGGCCCAUGUAAUUUCGAAAUACUUCAAUAUAGGUUGUUUUUAGAGUCCGUAUGUGUGGGGAAACAAGAGUUAGGGUGGGUUUCGGACCCCUCCUCCAAGGGCCACGAAAUUCCCCCCUCUUCCUCCAUAUAUACAGCCCCUAGGGCAUAGUUUAGACUUUGGGUUUUGUUUAGAUUAAAAGCUCGCCAUAGCUGCAACUUCACGUACUUCGUUUGUGUUCAACGACCAGACAAAGGCGUCACAGAACCCCACCUUCAUUAAUAAAGCUUUCCUCUUUUAUUCGCAAUAUCCAGAUUGCAAUCUCAGUUUCUUGCUUGUUCUUCGUUUGCUCGCAGGAAAUAGACCCUCGUGGUCAGGUUGAUCGUGCUCCGGCGUGGGCAAUAAUCCCUCGGAAGUUGGUUUAGCGAUUGCUAAGGCAAGACGUCUUCGCACGUUCGUAGUCGGAUCGUCAAAGUCGACUCCCACAGAAAACGAUUCCUAUCUCAUCGAAACAUCGGGACACCUUUGCCUCUAUCAGCUUAGGUCCCAUGCAAGAAAUGGGAAUGAAUUUCAAACAACAGGGCCCUGUUGAUUGCCGGCAAAACGUUGAGAUACUUUGUUUUUAAAUUCUAGUAAAUCCAAAACUCGUCUGAAAUUCAUGAAACUUGGCAUGCUAUCAUGGAAUGGGACCCGACAUGCUGUGGUAUUUUCGUGUCCAUUUUGAGAGAAGGCGCACUCGAAUAACAGUCAACAAAGGCAUUUUGAAAAAAUAGCUGCCACUUUAAUAUCUCAAACGUUUGUAUAAUUCAAACCGUGCGCGUUCUGUUAACCAUUCACGUGACGCCACGUGUCUUGGUUUUAAUGGCUAUAGGAGGUGUCGUGCGAAUAGCUGCUUGACCUUGACUGGACAGGAGGCGUGCGAGCGCAGUCCGGUGCGCAGGCUGACCGGGAGGCGUGCAAGCUGUCCUCCAAUGCGCAGGCUCACCGGGAAGCGUGCAAACUUUAUGCUUCGCAGGCUCACUAGGAAGCGAGCCCUUUGACUUCCAUGGCCGCCCGCCUUCCUCUCAUUAAUGGCACCCGAGCCGCUGCUUAAUACGGGCGGCCUACUGUUUGCCUCCCAUUCCCCUCCCUCCCGCAGACCUCCACCAACACCGCAGAAGGAUCAUCUGCCACUAGUCUUCAAGUUUGGUGAAGUUGACUCCAAGCCGGAGGAGAUAGAAAAUAAGGAGGAAUGGGGCCUCAUGGACAUGGCCCAGAACGAGCUAGCCGCGACGGUUGCUGCCCCCACUCCCGUCCUAGCUCCCAUCCCCGCGCCCGCGCCAGCGACCAUCCCCGUACCAUUGACAAGCUGGUCGCCGAGCACUAUCGAAGAGCUGGAAGCCGCGGGCGUCAGGAAGGUCUCCGCCGACCCGCGCGAGCUCGUGUACAUGCCAGCGCCCGUGCCCAUGCGCGCCCCUCCACCCACCGCGGCGCCAGUCCCUUUGCGUUUGGCUACACCUGCCGUGCCCGUACCUGUGCGCGCGCCCCCCACAGCGGCAUGGGACACUGCCGUCGACCGCUACCUCUCAACGCCGCCAGCUGCCGUCCUCCCGCGCCCUGCCCGUCGAUCGCGCAACGACAUGAUGUCUGAUUUACAAGUGAAGAACAUUCUAUGGUGCAUUGAAGACUUCAACAACAGCGUCCCGGAGGACGACAACGACAAUGACAGCGCGGCACGCCGCCUCCGCAGCCGCCGGAAACAGUUUUUUUCUUGGGUUUAAUACUGUAUCUCGAUCAUAUGAAUAUAAAUUCGCAGUAUGACUGAAUGAAAGAUAUGGUUUGAGCGAACUUGCAUUUUUCUCUCUUAAUUUACGGACUUAUCAAACGAUUUUCUUUAAAAAAACGUCAAUGGUUUUUAAAUAUAAAACACUCAUCGCAAACGUUUUAGUUAGAACACUCGUAUGCAAACAAACAGCUUCCCCAGGAAGCCAAGGAAAAAUAAGCCGAGCAGGAUUUGUGCAACACUUGAUCGCCAACGUUUUAGAUAGAACACCCGUACGCAAAGUGAGAGCAGGAUUUGUGCAUCUCUUCAACGCAAACGGUUCUUUUGGAUGACCCGUGUGCAACCACUUACAAACAAUUUGGGUAUGUUACCAUUUGUCAAACUGGAAAUAUUGACAUUUGUUGAUCUAGUAACAUUGCCAUUUGUCAACCUUGUAACACUGUGAUUUGUCAAAAUAUGAAGCUAAAAAUCACUAGCAGUAUCUAAUUUUUGCAACUAAAAUUCAGUAAUUAAGCAUAGAUUUCAUUCAUAGAUUAAGCAGUCGUUCUUAAUUUAUACAAAUUGUUCAACUCGACAGUUGAACCGACCAAACUUUUCCCCAAUUGUUGCCAACCACGUACUGAAAUAGCUAGUUCAACUAUAUAUACUAGGUAAUUUUAAGUACGCUGUACAGUUCCACCACAUCUAUAGUCAGAUGAACUGAACAAAAUAGCCCCAAAAUACUACUACUACUGCUACUAUGGAGGGGCUUUGUACUACCGGCUGCCUCUCCUCUGCUGAGCGCGCUCAGUAAGAGGCAGAGGAGGAGGAGCCUACCGACGAGCUGGGCAACUGCAAUACGGUGCCUGCCGCUGCUGCAGCUUCAGCGAUGCUCACCUCGAACACCCUCUGCCGCUCCAGACGACCAGUCUCGAAGCGGUGGUUCUCCUCAUAGAUCUCCUGAUUCCUCGCCUCUGAGGCAGCGUGUGUCAUGGCCACGGCGGUGGUAAGGCUCUUUGCGUGCUCGACGAGGCGCUCCACCUCCUCCCGCAGGAACUCGGUGUAGCACGCAAGGUCGCUGACGCACGUGCGGGCAUCCACCUUCGCCUCCCGCCUUCGGGUGCCGGUGGCGGAGCGGGGGAUGACCCCGGCGGUCGACGGUGGGCUGGCGGCAACGGCAGCCGACGAUGGGGUGGCGGCCACGACCACCACCUCCCGCCUUCGGGCCACGGUGGCGGAGCGAGUGAUGGCCACGGUGGCGGCACUGGGGUGGCGGCCACGACGGCCACCUCCCGCCUUCGGGCCGCGACGACGGAGCAGGCAAUGGCCCUGGCUUUCAACGAUGGUGUGGCAGCAACGGCGGCCGGCAACAGCUGCCGGCGGGCAGCGGCGGCGGAGCGUGUGGUGGGUGUUCCGCGCACACCCAACAGGGAUGCCACGUGCACUACACUACGUCGAGGACUGCGCGGCCGUGGUGUAGCCUCCCAGCUGGACCUGUCCUCUGAUGACGGUGGAGUGGCUGAGCGACGACGACGGACCGGUGCCAUUGGCGAUUGUGGGAGAAGCAGACGAGAUAAGCUACAGGGAGGAAGGGGAAAAUGCGACGCGGGACUCGCCGGCCGUGAGGGUUUAUAUAGCAGGCAGGUAAGCAUUGGGAUUUUGGGGGAUUUCACCGAAUGGGGCGGGAGCUUGCGCGGGAACGGGCUCACCGACGAUUCAUUGGCGCCACCGUUUGGCCAGAAGAACGCCCCCGCGCGCUGUGCAAGCUUGCGCUGUAAGCCAUCAGCGGCAGCGGGGUGACAAGACGUGCGAGAGGAGGACGAAAGGCCACGUACACAUACGGUUAAUAAAAAAAUGUUUGCGAUUUAAUUACCUACUAUACCCCCGUCCUGGUUUAUAAGUAUGAUUUAACUAAUAAAAUAUGAAUGCAUGUCGCCAAAUAUUAUAUAGUUGGAUUCGUAUUUGAACAUAGUUUCCAAUUUUAUAAUUUUUAUAACAUGCAUUAACAUUUUGUUGGUUAAAUUUGAGGGCAAAGUAUGGCACAUAAUAUAAAGGGGACUAUAGGCUGGACGGAGGUAGUAGCACACGGCCGCUCUCUACGCAACGACACAAUUGUGGGCCGGCUUGUAGGCGACCAUUUCCUGCGUGUUCAACUGCUCUAUGCGUGUGGUUGCUUGCGGUUCAGGCGGUCGCGGCGCGCUCUGCUCGCGUCCCGCCGCGCGUGCUCUGCUCUCACGUCCCUCUGGGUGCUCUACCCUCGUCCCUCCACGGGCGCUGCCAGUGUUUUGGGCCGGCACACGAUCACGCUCGUUCAUGUGCAUGCGGUUGCGCCGGGCGCGGCGCGAUAAUGCAGCUACCCGCUGCAAAAACUGCCAUGCAGACGUGCAGAGAAUCCAGGCCGCCCGCCCCCCAUUAAUUCCUGCAGCCAUUUACCUUCAUCUCUCACGUCACACGAUACAAUAAUCACACCCACGACGACACAUACAGAGAGGACAUCCAGAGGUUCCAAUGGCGCUCCCCGUGGCUCCAAUGGCGCUCCCAGGGGCCGACGAUGACAACGGCAGGCAGUUCACCACACAUCACGUAGUGGACACCCACGUGAGGGGGAAGGCCCUCUCGGUGGUGUACACGAACGAUCCGGUCUCGGUGGAGAGCUCCAUCCAAACUAUGGACCAGUUCCUUGCCGAGGAUAAGUACCGAGUGGUCGGCUUCGACCUCAAGUACACCAUCAGUCAUGCCGGGCACGAUCAGAAGGUUGCCGUUGCCUAGUUGUGCGUGCGACAUGACAUCCUCGUCUACCACUACCACCUUGCCACAAGGCCUUGCGAGCGUUUCUCCAGGUUUAUCAACAGCUCCGACUACAGUUUCGCUACGGUGGACACCACCAAUGAUCUAAAAGCGCUCAAGGUUUCGGACUUGAAAUGCCCGAAUCUUGUCAACAUCCAGCACAACUACAAGGUAUGGGGCAGUGACAAAAACAAACUGAACUCCCUGGUUGACCUCGUCUCGGCCAUCAUCGACCCCUACUACAUGAAGAUGAAGAAUGAGAGCAAGAAGGUCAAGAAUGCCUGGCACAGUGUGUGGCUUGAGAGACUGGAUGAACAACAUGUCAAGUACGCGACCAUGGACAUGUACACAAGCUACGAGAUGUACAGGCAGAUCGUUGACAUGAGGAAGUGUCUUCUUCCUGCCCCAGACGAGGGAUCGAGCCACAAAGUAGUGGCGGGAGCGUCACAAGAAGUAGAUGACUAGAUGAUCGUUUCUCCUACUUUAUAAUGCAUGCAAUUGUUUAUUGAGGUGUGUGCGAAUGAUCUGUAUAGUCACUUAUGUAAUUGGAUGUUUAUUUCAGUUAUAUAUAUAUAUAUACAUACAUUUUAUUCUUCUGUAAACAGAGCAAAUCACACGGCUUAUUAACAGCAAUCGUUUGUGUUAUUAUUGGUCUUCGCACACAUUUCUGAUUACGGACCUGUUUGCCACGUAUCACACACAUCUUGUUCAGUUGAACCGUUUCAUUGUGUUGCCUAAUCACACACAGUUCAUCCUAGUGAACCAUAUGCUGUAUAUAGUACACACCUUCAUCUGGCUGCCUGUUUCUUUUGUUCCUCCUCAUCUCAAAAAGUUAUUUCAACUGAACCGUAUGCCCUGAAUCGCACACGCAACUAAAAUCUAAAUCGUGUUUGAUGCAUCCGUCAUCGCAAACGUUUUGCACCUUUUGACGGGUUUUUUACACCACCGUUUGCGAUUAUGGCAUCACACACAGUAUCGGCGAAGGGUCUCUGAUCGUAGUGUCUCGUUUGGACCAUCCUGCAGUAAUGAAUAGUCUUUAAUAUGAUAUAAAGACACCAAUACUCUGACAUACCAACAAACAAUCAUAUAUUCUUGUCAUGCUUGGUCUUCAUAACAGUAAGUAUUAAUCAUGAACUACCCCGAUGAUAAGCCAAGCAAUUGGUUCAUACUUUUAACACGCUUCAGAUUUUUCAUCCUCACGCAAUACAUGAGCGUGAGCCAUGGAUUAGCAGUAUGGGUGGAAUGGAAUGCGGUGAUAGAGAUCAAUAAGGGGAAGUCAAAAAGGAAGAUAGUCUCACAUUAUGACGAUAUAGUAAGAACCAGGGUCCCACAAACCUUCUAGGCGUGGGGUCAUGCUAGUCUAGGGAUGUUACAAAGAAGCCCCGAAAAAGAGAUGAUCUUCCCAGCAAGCGAUGCGUUCUCAAGCGCUACAUCAACAAGCAAGACUAAGGACGCACUUGGAAGGAGCUCCUUCCCGGCAGUGCAUCUUCCUAGCAUUGGGAAGCACUACAACCAUAUGAGGAUGUCGACAAUCUUCCUUCCCAGCAAGGCAGAGCCAGCAAGACCAAGCACAUCCCAUGUACCGAUAAGAUCCCAGUUGCUUGCAAGCUCCGCACCGGCAAGCCAAGACCCGACAUGCUCCUUGCCGGGAAGUACCCCCAUCUCAAUUUUCGACCGCUCCACCUCAUCGACCAGAUGAUGGCUUGGCAAGAUUAGGUGUCGAGCGGAUAGGCGGCUUGGGGAGGAUCAUCAAGACGCGUGUCAGCAUGUCGCAUAAAGGUCAACGUUAUUGACACCCGUCUAGUGGACGUGUCAAGAUGACAGGCUCGCCCGGACCGGCAGCACAGAAGGAGAGACGCCUUUUGCCAAAGGAUCGUUAUCAACUCACGGUGCAUUAAAUGCCCUUGUCCUAGUCCGACAAGAUUAGGUUGGAUAGCAUCGAGGCCACUGUUCCAUAAGAUGUAAUGACCAUGUUGCCACUAUGUUGACCCCUUUUCGUCUAUAAAAGGAGGCUCAUGGCUACCUAGGCAUGGGUCGACACUUUGCUCACUCUUACACAGUAGUUGCACCUUGCACGCACCUUCCGACAAGUUGCACUUGUAACUUGAGCCCCAAGUUAAUCCACCCAAAGCUAGGAGUUGGGUUUUACGCCCCCAUGGUGGCCCAAACCUGGGAAAACCUUGCGUGUGAACUUCCGGAUUUGCUCCCUGUGCUCGUCGAUCUCCCCAGCUGAACUGCAAAGGGGCCACACUGGUCCCAUAGACUGUCGUGCCCCGACAUCUUUCACGCGCCAGGUAGGGGGAUCGCUUGCGCGGAUCUGAUCUAGCGGUCAGUGCGUCAGCUUCAUCAUCUUAAUCGUCAUGCACUACUGCAGGAUGCUGCUAACGCGACACUACGAUCAGAGACCCUUUGACGAAACUGUGUGCGAUGCAAUAAUCGCAAACGGUGGUGUAAAAAACCCGUCAAAAAGGUGCAAAACGUUUGCGAUGGAGGAUGCAUCAAACACCGUUCAUAUUUUAGUUGCGUGUGCGAUGCAAGGCAUACGGUUCAAUUCAAUUAACUGUUUGCGAUGAUGAGGAACAAAAGAAACGGGCAGCCAGAUGAAGGCGUGUGCGAUAUACAACAUACGGUUCAGUCGGAUGAACUGUUUGUGAUUAGGCAACACAAAAGAAAUGGUCAGCCAGAUCAAGGUGUGUGCGAUAUACGGCAUGCGGUUCACUCGAAUGAACUGUUUGCUUUGAGCCAAGAGAACAGAAACAGUUCAAUAUAACAAGAUGUGUGUGAUACGCGACAAACAGGUCUGUAAUCAGAAAUGUGUGCGAAGACCGAUAAUAACACAGACGAUUGCUGCUAAUAAGCCGUGUGUGUUGUGGGCAAACACUUGGUGGUAUACAAUUGUCAGUGAUUGAUGAAAUCAUCACCGACGGGUUCCCCAGUAUGGUCCGUGUGCGAUGUCAUUGCACACAGAACAACAACAAAUGUACUUACAACUUAUAAGGACUUGAUUCCAUAAACAGAUUGAACAUCGAAUUAGAUAUGUGGCUAGUACACACAUGACCUUUGCACACACCAAAGUACGUUCCAAAAUGCCUAGGAAACUCAAAUAAUGUAUAAAAAGGCAAAACAAACUAUGAAUAAUUUCAUAUUUUUAGGACGACGCUACUAUAUAUAGUUGUAUGUUGCCUCUGUAAAAUAAAUCAAGGCGAGAAGAGACAGCGUAUGUCGUUUCGCACACAUAGGUGACAAGGUCCCUCUCGGAACCAUGAGCCUUUUUGAGAGAAGCUUCGGUUUGUACGAAGUUUGUAUCAAAACUUGUCCCAAAUUGGACUAAUUUUUUACCACAACAUGUUGGUGCUAUGACAUAACACCAUGCCAAGUUUCAUGAUUUUGAGGCGAGUUUUGGAUUUACAGUAAUUUUAAAACCAGGUUUCUCAAUGUUUACUGUCGAGUCGGCACCGCCCUGGAUAGGCUUUUUCCUCGUGGGUCCCAAAUGAUAAAUCCAAAUCUGUGACUACCAUGCAACUUUUCUUAUUAAGAAUUACAACCCAUUUGGUGUGCAAGCUGAUAAUAAGUUUGUGGGUGCUGGUGGGCACUAAGAACUUGCGGUUCUGUAAUGAACAAAGAUCUCAAGGAUCCUGCGAGAGUGAUGUUCUUUCCCUAUGUUGUGCAUUCUUAUAAUAUUUAUGUCUUAAUUAAAGAAAUGGCAAGCCAUUGGCCCAGUAUGAAAGAAAAUAUGGGUCAAAGCCGAGUUCAAAAGGGCAACAAUAUAUAACUCCAGCUAACAAACAGUACAAAAGCACGAGGAUUAAUUGCUCAUUAGGUUUAGAAAAAAUCCAGAUUGAACAGGACAAUGACAUCUAACUCAACCAAAGUUUUCGGCAGUCACAGUCAAAUGGAUCGGUCUGAUCCAUAAAAUCAAGAUCCCCGGCCAGAAAUUCUACUGGUCCAUGAUGACAAGCUGUUGUAAAUAGAAGCCGAGCAUGAUCAGAAGCCCUUAGGUCCACCUGAAACUUCUUUUUAUGUUGUUCAACACUUGCAGCCGUAAGAAAUUUCUUGUUGAAAAACUUAAUCCUCACGGACAAUAGUGCCCUCGCAUUCAACAUGAAGAAUGUGACAAAGCUAGUGUUUGCAUUGUUGGAUGCAUAUCCUUCCAGUGUUACUGUCUUCAAACGAAUGUCAUGAGAUCUGAGAAAAUCCCGGUGCUUCUUGAGCCAUCGAUUGGUUAUAACUUUUUCUCCAUGUGUUAGUACCUAAAUAGAGAUGAAGAUUGAAAACAGUUAAUGUCUAAAAAAGAUUAUGUUGAAAGAGUGAUAGCUGAGCGAUUAAUUAUAGUACAUUUUAUAUGGGCUUUCAAUGUGCGUGAAAUCAUCACCUUCCUAUACAAAUUCUCCAGACAUGGAAAGCAUUGCAGCAAGGCAAUAAUGAUGUUGAGAUCAAAACACCACAUACUGAUAUAUAAGGUAUUGACAGAAUCCACCACCACUGAUAGGAUGGACAAGCGCUCAUUGAGCAUAGAACAUAAUAUUAGCACUGAAAGUGUACUCCAAGAUGAUACUUAAGUUAUGCGCAUAAAUGAAAAAUGCAAAUUACAAAAGUGUACGUGAAUAAUAUACAGUACCUUAAUAGGUGUGGAGGCAAACACCAUCUCGAACCAUUCAAACGGAUCACUAAUUGCACCCAAGGUCUCCAGUUUAGGCGCAGAGACCACAUUUAUUUGUGAAGGUUUAUAACAACAAUCAAGGAGCAACCUUUGAAGUGAAGGGGCUUCUUCGAUGAUGAGCUCCCUUCCUCCGAAAUGAAUUCCAAUGCUUACAAGGUGAGACGACUUUAUUUUGAGACAAGGGGUAUGGAUUCCUAGUCCAAAAACAAGCACCAAACGAUGCGGUGCAAGGCAGCUAGAGUGGAUGAUGUUGUGAAGUGAGGCCACUGACAGAUCAACCAACAUAAGUGCAAGUUUUUUCAGCAGUGGUAGUCGAAGCAUUUGUACCACAUAGUCUGCUAGAUGGCACCGGGUCAAGGUGGCGAUGUGGAGAGGGAGGAAAACCAUGAGAUGGGCAUCGGUGGUGAGGGUACAGAUGCAGCUCUUGGUGGUAACCUAUCGCUGUAGUAAUGGUAGAACUCAAGCUGCUGGAAUUUAUCGAAUUAACGGGAUGUCAGCCAGGUGGCCACCGUGCAGGGUAUGUCCAGCAGGUAGCAUGCCGGGAUGCGGAUGCGUUGAACGGAGCCCUUGUGGGAGGAGAUGAUGAGGACAUCAAUACCGUUGUUACACCCACAGUCCCUACUGCUACAUAUACUGGACCAUUUACUAGAGCUUGCGCACGCCAAUUAAAUUUUCACAUACUUCCGUUUCUUGGUAAUGAUUCUAAUGUCCAUGAGAAUAUGAUGCUUCCUAAAUUGGAUACAUUUGUUUUGCUUACAAAUGAAGGGCCUGGCAUGGAUAAGAGGGAUGAACACUGGAGCAAGACCAAGCACGGAGAGGAUGGCAUGCUCAAGGGGAACAAGAACGGAGUUACAAGUGAUGAUUUCAGGACUUUGAAGCCACCAUAAUGAGUGCAUGAAGCCUUGGACGAAAUAUACAAGAUGCCACUUCAUAAAUUUCAUCCAAAGGCUAUUCUUGGUGAUGCGUCACCUUAUUAUUUGGCCAAGCCCAUGUAAUUUCGAAAUACAUAAGUAUAGGCUGUUUUUAGAGUCCGUAUGUGUGGGGAAACAAGAGAUAGGGUUGGUUUUGGACCCCUUCCCCAAGGGCCACGAAAUCCCCCCCCCCCUCUUCCUGCAUAUAUACAGCCCUUAGGGCACCGUUUAGACUUUGGGUUUUGUUUAGAUUAAAGUUCGCCAUAGCUGCAACUUCGCGUACUUCGUUUGUGUUCAACAACCAAACAAAGGCGUCACAGAACCCCACCUUGAUCAAUAAAGCUUUCCUCUUAUAUUAGCAAUAUCCAGAUUGCAAUCUUAGUUUCUUGCUUGUUCUUUGUUUGCCUGCAGGAAAUAGACCUUCGUGGUCAGGUUGAUCAUGCUCCGGCGUGGUCAAUAACCUCUCGGAGUUGGUUUAGCGAUUGCUAAGGCGCGACGUCCUCGCACGUUCGUAGUCGGAUCGUCAAAGUCGACUUCCUCCAAAACGAUAGCCACCAUCUCAUCAAAAGACGGACACCUUUGCCUCUAUCUAGUGGUAUCGGAUUUUCAGGUUGCUCGGUGAGAUUUUAUAGUUUUUCAUAGUUUAGAUCGACUAUGUCCUUCAUACCUACAGUCCACGAAAAAGCCACAAAAAAAUAGGGUUAGUUCAUCAUAUCCGAACCAGUUUGAGCCUUUGCAUAGUCUUUUCAGUAUUUUGCUUUGUUGAAUUUGCGGUUGCCUCGUCGUGUCAAGUUGCUGGUCUUAGCGUCUAGUUUCCCUUAGAGUUUCGAGUUCUGCUCACAAGUUGUCACGCCGUCGCCGCACCAUCGUCAUCGCUCCUGCCAUAUACCACCACCACCAACAUAUUCCUUACCGCUGCCAUAUACAUUCGCCUGUCCACCACCAAUCCGAUCCACAUAUACAACCAAUCCGAGUCACAUAUACAUCCCCCUGUCCACCACCAAUCCGAGUCCACAUAUACAUCCGCCUGUCCACCACCCAUCUGAGUCCACAUAUACAUCUACCUGUCCACCACCAAUCCGAGUCCUUUCCAUAUUAGGUUUGUUUUCGAGAUACUUUUAUUUUCCGAUUUGUGUUUCCUUGCCUGAGUAGGUUUCGUAAAAAAACAAAAGUCUGGAGACCCCCGGGCAGUUUUUAGGCCAAAAUUUCGGCGACCAAAUUUUUUCCCUAUCCUAUUUUUAGGCUUUUCUGAGUCUGUUAAGCCACGUGUCAUCAUAGUGAUUUUUUGUCGCACUUUUUCGUCGUCGCUGCCUUGAUUUCCGAAAAAAAUAGUCAAAACAUUUCGUGCCCAUCCUGUCAUUUUGACCUGGAAGAGUUUUGAGACACUCGCCAUUAUAGUGAUUUUUGGCAAAAAAAAAAAAAGAGGAGCACAAAAAAAAAGAGCGCCAAUAAAAAUAGAGCGAAAAAACAAAAAAUUCCAGAGUGUGCUUUUCCCUUGUUUACGUGCAGCGCCGUGAUUUUGUUCGUGUUCUAGGCUCGCGUCUCUAGUACGGUCUAGCCUAGGACCAGCACAGUACCGUCGUUGAGCGUUUAUUCAACUUUGCAUCUCAGAAUUGAUUAUUGCUGACCCUUUUUGCUACCAUAUUAUAAGCCUUCCCAGCUCCACAUACAUCUACGUCGUGCGUUUGACUCUCCCUGGUAAUCGCUCUAUCCUAGCUUUGAGAGUUUUGACUACAACGGUUGCCGAUCACCACCUGCUGCUUGGUAAGAACUGGUAAGAAUUUGAGAUUUGCUUGACUGAUUUGUGACGCCCCACCACCACCAUUUUCUAGUAGUUUGUAGGAUCAUAUUCUUGUGUUUUUCUAUUACUGCUAACCAUGGCAGGAUCACAAGUCAAUGAGACUGACUGGGAGAACAUGACGAAUAUGGAGUUGCAUGAUAAAUUUCAGCAAAUGAUGACUGAACAGGUGCAAGAUGUGCUGAACAAUUUUGAAGAGGCCAUGGAUAGGAUAACUGGCUUUGAGAAGACGUUCGAAACAAAGCUCGAUAACAAAUUUAAUGAAGUGCUUGCGCGUCUUCCACAACCAUCACCGGCUGCACCUGCCGCACCUCUGCCACAACAACAACAACAACAACAACAACAACAACAACAACAACAACGACGACUAUCUCCAUGUCGUGAAACAGCCCUCCGCCGAGCGAGCCGUGUCCCUCUUGAGCCUGGCCAAACUUUUGGUGCUGUUGUUGAUACUUCUGUGGCUCCUGCUGCUGAUGAGGAGGAGGAUGAUUAUGCAGGAGAUUACGAGGAUGAAGUUGAUCAAAAUCAGAACUACGUGCAACCACCAGCACCCGGUCGUCCACAUGCAAAUAAUUCCAACUACUUGGGCUGCUUUGAAAACUGAUAUGCUUAGUCGUUGGGUUCCACCAUAUUAUCAACGUGAAUUACUUCAAAAAUUGCAGCGUUUAAGAUAAGGAAAAAAUUAUGUAGAGGAAUAUUAUCAGGAAUUACAAACUGGCAUGAUUAGAUGUGGUAUUGUUGAGGAUAAUGAAGCUAUGCUUGCAUGUUUUAUGGGUGGAUUAAAUAGAGAGAUUCAGACCAUUCUAGAGUAUAUGGAGUAUAAUAAUAUCACUCAUUUAUUCCAUCUUGCUUGUAAAGCUGAACGUGAAGUGCAGGUUCGACAGGCAUUAGCGCGAACUAACUUUUCUGCAGGUCGACCUUCAUCAUGGACACCACGUGCAUCCUCUACUUCCACUGCACCAUCACCUCCAUCAGGUGCCACCUCCAACCGUGAUACAAGAAAGCAGGCACAACCACCACUAUCUGCCAAGAGCACACCUGUCGGGCCUGCACAGAGCUCUUCUUCUUCCAUGGCAUCAACAGGGCACACAAGUGAUAUUAUUUGUCGCCGUUGUAAGGGAAUUGGUCAUUAUGCGAGAGAAUGCAAAUCUCAGCGUGUGAUGAUUGCCACUGAGGAUGGUGGAUAUGAGUCCACUAGUGACUAUGAUGAGGAGACUUUGGCUCUUAUUACACGUGAAGAACAUGGUGGAGAUGAUUCUGAACAUGAGACACAAUACAUGGCUCCUGAAGAUGCUGACAGGUAUGAAUGUUUGGUUGCUCAACGUGUUUUGAGUGUGCAGGUUACACAAGCUGAGCAAAAUCAGAGGCAUAAUUUGUUCCAUACAAAGGGAAUUGUGAAGGAACGUUCUAUUCGUGUCAUCAUAGAUGGAGGGAGCUGCAACAACUUGGCUAGCAUGGAGAUGGUGGAGAAGCUAUCUCUCACCACAAGACCACAUCCACAUCCUUACUACAUCCAAUGGUUCAACAAAAGCGGCAAGCUUAAGGUAACACAUACUGUUCAUGUGCAUUUUAGUAUCUCUACAUGUGCUGAUUAUGUUGAUUGUGAUGUGGUACGCAUGCAAGCAUGUUCCUUAUUACUUGGUAGACCAUGGCAAUUUGGUAAAAAUUCUGUACACCAUGGUUAUGAACAAGAGUAUACUGAUUGUUUCUACGUCAAGUACAAACGAAAGUACCAGAAAAUUUAAUUGGCGUGCGCGAGCUCUAGUAAUUGGUCCAGUAUACAAGAACGGAGUUACAAGUGAUGAUUUCAGGACUUUGAAGCCACCAUAAUGAGUGCAUGAAGCCUUGGACGAAAUAUACAAGAUGCCACUUCAUAAAUUUCGUCCAAAGGCUAUUCUAGGUGUUGUGUCACCUUAUUAUUGGGUCAUGCCCAUGUAAUUUCAAAAUACAUAAGUAUAGGCUCUUUUUAGAGUCCGUAUGUGUGGGGAAACAAGAGAUAGGGUUGGUUUCGGACCCCUUCCCCAAGGGCCACGAAGACCCCCCCCCCCUCUUCCUCCAUAUAUACAGCCCUUAGGGCACCGUUUAGACUUUGGGUUUUGUUUAGAUUAAAGUUCGCCAUAGCUGCAACUUUGUGUACUUCGUUUGUGUUCAACGACCAGACAAAGGCAUCACAGAACCCCACCUUGAUCAAUAAAGCUUUCCUCUUAUAUUCGCAAUAUCCAGAUUACAAUCUUAGUUUCUUGCUUGUUCUUCGUUUGCCUACAGGAAACAGACCUCCCUGGUCAGGUUGAUCGUGCUCCGGCGUGGUCAAUAACCUCUUGGAGUUGGUUUAGCAAUUGCUAAGGCGCGACGUCCUCGCACGUUCGUAGUCGGAUCGUCAAAGUCGACUUCCUCCAAAACGAUAGCCACCAUCUCAUCGAAUGAUGGGACACCUUUGCCUGUAUCAAGAGAUGAUGGCUCAAGGGAGUUCAGAAUCAUCAUCGACAAAUAGCUGACGAUAGUCGAGAUUAAGAGGUGCGGUGCACCAAAGAGUGCGCCACCGAGAUGCGAGGACUUGUGUGCGGCAGCCAUCCUUGGUGGGGAGAAGGGAGAUGAUGUCCCCAAGGAUGUCGUCCGGGAUAUCGCUGAUGCUGUCCGCCGGAGAUUCUACUAGUUCCUAUGGUCCAGGGGGCGCUUUUGGCCGCACAGCCGGGUCCAAGAUCUACAUCCGGAUGCGGCGCUGGCCGGAGCCUCAUCUGUGUACAUACCAAUCUAAAAGAAAAAAUGGCAUAACAUGUAGGACAUUCGAAAUCAAUUCUCAAGAUCAGGAAGAAAAAAGGCACAAACAUAUAUAUAGGACAUUCAAAAUCAAUUCUCAAGAUCUGGCCAUGAAUUAUUAGCACGGAAGCUAACCCUAGUAGGAUUAUUAGCAAAAAUCAUUUUUUACCGAACAAACAAUUAAUCACUAACUCUAUACGGAUAACAUUCAAACAAUCAAUACACUAUGUGCAUCUAAAGGAUCUUAAUUACUCUGAUUUCAUGGACUGACAGAACAUAACCAUUGGNNNNNNNNNNNNNNNNNNNNNNNNNNNNNNNNNNNNNNNNNNNNNNNNNNNNNNNNNNNNNNNNNNNNNNNNNNNNNNNNNNNNNNNNNNNNNNNNNNNNNNNNNNNNNNNNNNNNNNNNNNNNNNNNNNNNNNNNNNNNNNNNNNNNNNNNNNNNNNNNNNNNNNNNNNNNNNNNNNNNNNNNNNNNNNNNNNNNNNNNNNNNNNNNNNNNNNNNNNNNNNNNNNNNNNNNNNNNNNNNNNNNNNNNNNNNNAAAAUUAUAGAGGGGCGGGGUGUGUGUGUGGGGGGGGGGAUUAACCAGAGAAAACACAUGAUAUGUUUGCCGCACAAAUGGGUAUAUAGAUGACUAAUCGGUUUUCCUUAGGAAUCGCAGUCGUUGCCGGAGUUGCUGUUGACCUCCGGCUCCGGCUGGGGGGGGGGGCACGACGGCACCGAUGAAGUCAAGGUCGUACUGCUGCCCGCGCGACACCUCGUCGGCGGCCACGGAAACAUCUAUGGCCGGUUUAAUGCGUUGCGCGGGCGCUUCACCAGCCCUAGCGUCGCCACUCCCUUCGAUGGUGCGCUUCGGCGGCAUCGUCAUACACUCUGGAGUCCAGACGUUGGUGACCACUAUGGACCGGGGGUGUGGCCGCCUAUUAUGGACGCCGGCUCGGGCACGCUAUUAAUACGGACCAAUGGGAGCGAGGCAGGCUGCGGUCAAAAGCUGUCUCGCCUCCUGGUGAGCCUGCGUGGCGGACUUCUGCCAUUCCUACCAUCAUUUCACACAGCUACUCGCACGCCUCCUCGUUAAUACGCACACCUGCACGCAGGCCUCCCGGUAUUCCUGCGCGGCGGACUGCUCGCAUGCGUCCCGUCAACUCACACGUGCUCGCACGGCACACGGGGCGUGUGGCAGCACGUAUAUUUUUUUGUUUACUUUCUACUGCUUUACUGCUUAACUAAACCGUUUGCGUUAAAGAGAUGAACAAAUCCUACGUUGAACAGCUCGCACGCUUCCCGGUGAACCUUCGCACCGGAUGAGUUUUGGAUUUACUAGAAUUUAAAAACCAGGUAUCUCAAUGUUUUGCCGGCAACCAAUUUAUAUGCACUGGAGCAUGUGUGUAACAUCCCAAAAUUCUAAAUUAUGGAAUGUUAUAUUAAAUAAGUAUAAUGAUUGCUUGUGUGAUUUGUUAUGUGAAAUUGAGUGGAAUUUGAAACUUUUUGUAGCGACCCGACCUUAGACGGCCAAGUCUCUGUACUUAAGUGUCAUCCCUGGAUCGAUAUGCUGACACACACAGUACUCGAGGAUUUAUAACAGAGGUAAAUCACAUGUAUAAAGUAACGUAAAUACUAUUACCUCAAUCCAAAUAGCGGAAGUAACAACAAGGUUGUGGAUUCCCAUCAACUCCAACGGCAAAGUUGAGUGUAGAAAUCGUAACCCUAAUGUAUCACUUACUCGUCAUAAGAAUCCUGCAACACGAGACGUUGCAGCCACAAAGGGUCAGUACAUUGAAUGUACUGGCAAAUUCACACCAUAGAGCAAAUGAUGAAUAAUGGCUAUCACUACAUGCAUAUAUGGCUGGUGGAGGCUCUAUGGUUAAAAUGUUUUUGCGAAAAGCCAAUUUUUCCCUACUGCAAAGGAAUAUCUUUUAUUUAACUACAGAGUUGGUUGAUAAAUAUUGAGAAGGUUCCUCCAACUCAAUCCCAAAAUAACAAUCAUUAACCCAAUCAAAUUAAUUAAAUAAAGUGUUGAGAUCAACAUGAUAAUUCAAGAACCAGAUACUCAAGAUGUCCAUAACCGGGGACACGGCUAAUCAUGAUUAGUUUGUACACUCUGCAGAGGUUUGCGCCCUUUUCCCCACAAGACUCGAUCUCCUCCGUUGGAUUUCUCGCACUACAUGGUGUUUGAGAAACGGAUGACCGAGACACAGUCUUUCAGAAGCAUUAACUCUAACCCUGGGUAGACAGUACCAACCUACAUCCCCUACAUAUGCUAGCCUACCACUGGAAGAGGUCAUGCAACAUACUCAACUAUGCUAGAGCCCAUAAUAGCUUGUGGCUGCACACCGAAGUUUCUAGCAUGAAUAAUCUUAUGAUCCCUUUGAGCCUGGGUGGCAUUCCUUAGGGUGAUCACACGGGUCCUCCGGGAUCCCCUUGGGCAAGCACUGGGUUCUCCAGGUGCCCGGGCAGACCACUGGGUGCUCCAGGGUGCCCCUACCAUUCCACCCAGAUUGUGUAUUAAAGUAGCCACCUUAAGUUAACCAUUAACGAUAACUCUCACAUCUGUCAUGAAUACCCUCAACAAAUCCACGUCUACGAGCAUAGCAUAGCAGUACGAGCAUAACGUAAAAGUAACUCCCAAGGUUUGAAUGCAGGACAAUAGGUUCCUACCUCAUCAACUACUUCCCAACACCCACGUAUUAAUCACAUCCUACUCAUGCAAUGUUUGAGGGUGAAACUAAUGCAUAAAAACUGGGUAUGAAAGGGAUAUGAUCAAAGUGUGAACUUGCCUCGUACUGUUGAUGAAGAUGAUUCGCACUCAUAACUCCUGAUAGUUCUACUCGUCACACGCCGGUCAAUCUAUCGUGAGCAAGCAAUAGUAACCACACAUAAGCAACCAUUCAAAAGAUCGGAAAGAACGAAGAAGACAAUUCGGAAAAAAUUAAAACCAAGCAAAUAACUCUUGCAACAUAAAACAAUUCCUAACAAUACCAAAAUUAUGUGGAUUUGGCCUUCUCAGAAAGUUUAGGUCAAGAGCUUCGAUUUGCAAAAAGAAUCAAUUCAAACGGAGUUACGGAACUCAAGUUACGAUCAAAAGAAGAUUCAAAUCAAAUCUGUUUGAAUUCAAAUUUUAAAACUUUCAAAAAUAUGUUCAAGUUUAUUUACUAGAUAGAGGGGAUCAUAACAAAGAAGUGGGCGUUGGUUUCGUUCGAUUUGGAUAAACGAGCGAAAAGUUGUGAUAGAUUGAAAAGCAGGGGCUUAACUGUAAAGAAAAUAAUCACAGAUAGGUCCCUGGCCGAAAUUAAAAAGAAAAAGAAAAACUCUACCGAACAAACGUUUGCUACAGAAGCAUAAGCGACGAGUUCGUCCACUACAGAGGCCUAACCAGUGAAAGUUCACUAUUUGGAUCUAACUAAAAGAAAACCGAUCUAAAUAAAAUAAACCGAACUAAGAGAAGAAACCGGACGGGUUUACGAUUUAUACCGGUUCACCAAAACAAAACCGGCGACGGCGGUGGUUACUCCGGCGAGGCGACGGCGUGGCGGCGAUUUGGAUCGGGCGGCGGCUCUGGCGAGGUGCGGGCGGUGGCUGCGCGGGGCGGGCGUUGGGCGGCGGGAGGCNNNNNNNNNNNNNNNNNNNNNNNNNNNNNNNNNNNNNNNNNNNNNNNNNNNNNNNNNNNNNNNNNNNNNNNNNNNNNNNNNNNNNNNNNNNNNNNNNNNNNNNNNNNNNNNNNNNNNNNNNNNNNNNNNNNNNNNNNNNNNNNNNNNNNNNNNNNNNNNNNNNNNNNNNNNNNNNNNNNNNNNNNNNNNNNNNNNNNNNNNNNNNNNNNNNNNNNNNNNNNNNNNNNNNNNNNNNNNNNNNNNNNNNNNNNNNNNNNNNNNNNNNNNNNNNNNNNNNNNNNNNNNNNNNNNNNNNNNNNNNNNNNNNNNNNNNNNNNNNNNNNNNNCGCGGCGGCGGCGACUCGGUGCGUGGUGGCGAGGCGCAGCUUUGCGGCGUCGGGGCCCGGGGCCCGGCUAUAUAUAGCCUCGGGAGGGGGGCGGUGGCUCGGGACGAGUCCGGCGGCGUGCGGGACGAGGACUCCCAGUGUGGGGCGGUUGCCGGUUGGGCUUCGGCCCAGUUGGCCCAGUCCGGAGAAGAAGUUUUUUUUAUAUAAAACAUUUUUUCUAAGAGAUAAUAAAAACAAAAGAAAAACAAAAUAAGAUAAAAAUAUAAUAUAGACAUAUUAUAUAUCAAAGUUUUCAGAGAAAGAUUUUCUUCCGCAUGAACAUUUUUCUAGCACCAAAUAAAAUCUACAAAAAAUUCAAAUAAAUCAAACAGUGCUACUGCUCUAAUAAAAUCCAAUAAAAAUUCAUUUGAAAAAUACCAAAAUAAUUUCAAAUUUAUUUCUCUCCAGUUUUCUAUUGUAGGGAAUCAUUUUACCCUAAUUUCCAAAUAUUUUAUUUUUGGAGAAAAAUAAUUUGGAUAAAACUCAAAUAACUCCAAAUUGAAAAAAUAAUCUCAAAUGGACUUUAAAUUUGAGUUCUUUGAAACUUCCAACUCAUAUUUCAUAUGUUUUGAAGAAGUCAUUUUAUCUUCUCUGAUGAAAAUCAUUGAGUUGCUUAAAGUUUCUGAAUUUGAAAUAUUUUCAAAUGAAAUUCAAAUAUUUUCAACAACCCUUUUCAUUUAUUUAAAUGGAAGAAGUCAUGUCGUCUUCUCUCUAGGGUUUUGUAUUUGAAAAGAAUUUGAAUUCAUGGAGAUCAUAAAUGCAAAAAUGAAAGUUUCGGAAAGUCCUCUUAUUCCUUCUCAUUCAACUUCAAAAGUUUCGAACUUCACUCAAUUUCACACAAUCAAUCAAACAAUCAAUCAUAACUACCUAUCUAAUAUAACAUUCCAAAAUUUAGAAUUUUGGGUUGUUACACUUUUAGAAAGUUAAAUGAGAGGGAAUAAAAGGACAUUCCCAAACUUUCAUUCUUGCUUUUGGUUCCUUGGAAUUCAAGAUUAAAUUCAAAACAAACCCUAGAGUGAAGAUAACAGGACUUCUUCCAUUUGAAAUAAAAAUGUUUUGUUUUUAAGAUUUGAUUUCCAUUUGAAACUAAUUCAAACUCAGAAACUUUAUGCCACUCAAGGAUUUUCAUGAGAGAAGAUAUAUAACUUCUUAAAAUAUUUAUGAAAUAGAGUGGGGAGUAAUGAGUACCAAUUUCAAAACUUAUUUGGAGCACUACUUGGAAUUUUCUCUUUUCAGUUGGAAUUUCAAAUCAUCUCAAAUCCUCUGAAUAUAUAAUAAUAGAGUGAAGGAAACAUGACCCUUCAAACUCAGAGAAGAUUUGAGAAAUAUUUUAAUAAAUAAAACAGAAAACUAUUUGCAAAAGAUUUGAAAAUGAAAUUCAAAUCCGAUAAUAAGUUAGUAAUAAAAAUGUUUUUUUGUAAUUUAUUUUUCCUCUGAAAAUUAGUUCAUAUUUUUCUUCGUUUUAUUCUAAGAAUUUUGAUAUAUAAUUUGUCUAUGCAAAAUUUAUGUUAAAUUUCUUUUAUGAAUUUUCUUUCUCAGUUUUAGAAAAGAGAGAGAGAGAGAGAGAGAGAGAGAGAGAGAGAGCCCACCGACCGAGCCUGACCAGGCCACCCGGCCCAGCCCCGCAGCGGCCUGCACCGCGCCGAACCGCCACCGCCUCGCUCGCCCGCUCCCUUCUUCGCGUGCACGAUGCCUCGCCCGGCCACCGACAGGUGGGACCCACCUGUUGGGUUCGUCUUCCCCAAGCCAAGCGGACUCCUCCUCCUGACGCCAUCGUCGGCCAACGCCGAGUCCUCCCUGGACUCCUUCUCUCGCCCUUGCCCCUCGCCCGUGCAUCGCCCCGCCUCCCUCCUAUAUAUAGCCCCGACCCCGGCCUCUUUUUCCUCAACCCACAGCCCCGAAAGCCACCGCAGCCCGUGCCCGCACUCGCCGGAGUUCGAGCCGCCGCCGCCUUGCCCCGCGCUCCGCCGCCGCCGCUGUUGGAUUCGCCUCAACGCGCCGCACCUCCCCGACCGCUCCGCCGUCGCCGCAGACCACCGGAACCGCCGCCCACCAGAAGUCGAAGCUGCCGUCUUGUUCGUCGUCGACGACCACCACCGCCGCGGUACGCCAUCGGACCCCCUAGUCCGUUCGAUCUAGAUUAGACGGCCUAGAUUAGAUCGCGUAUUUGUUUUGUUCCUUUUUCUAUCGAAACGGUAUGCGCUAAGUAGUGAACGUUCACUGGUUUAGAUCCACGGCGAACGGUUUUCAGCCUAUCAUUUUCUGCCACGUGUCCAGGGACCUAGAUGUGUUUUUUUCAGAUUAGCCCCUGUUUUUCAAACUAGCACAACUUUUCAACCGUUUGUCCAAACUCAGUGAAACCAAUGCUAAAUUCUUCGUCAUGAUCUCAACUAUCCAGAAAACUUAUGAAUUCAAGUUUUUGAAAUUUUAAAAUUUGAAUUAUAUCAGAUUUGAAUUUAAACUUGUUUUGGCUAUAACUUGAGUUUUAAAACUCCGAUUUAAUUGAUUCUUUUUGCAAAUCGAAGCUCUUGACAUGUACUUUCUGUUAAGAUCAAAAUCACAUAAUUUUUCUACUGUUAAAAAUAUGUUUCUAUCUAGAAGCUUUAUUUAAUGAUUUUGAAGUUUUUCAAAGUAUUUUCUUCAUUCUUUUGGAUCUUUGAGUGAUUGCUUAUAUGUGCAAAUAAUUGCUUGCUUAUGAUAGAUUGAUCAGAGUGUGACGAGUAGAACUACCAGAAAUAUGAGUGCGAAGAAUCUUCAUCAACAGUACAAGGCAAGUUCACACCUUGAUCAUACUUUUCUAUACCCAGCUUUUACUAUGCAUUAGUUCACUCUUACACAUUUGCAUGAGUAGGAUUGGGAAUUGGGGCAUUUCUAUGUAGUUCAUGAGGUAGGAACCUAUGAUUUGAAACACCCCGGGAAUAUUCGUUAUGUCAUAUAUUGCUUAGCCAUGCUAGUAGACGGGGAUUGGCAUGUGUGAUUCAUGAAAGAUGAGAGAGAUAUAAUAAUUAAGGGUAACUUUAAGGUGGCAAUAUUAACACACAUCUUGGUGGAAUGGUAGGGGCACCCUGGAGAAACCAGUGCUUGCCCAAGGGGAUCCAGGAGGACCCGUGAGAUCACCCUAUGGAAUGCCACCCAGGCUCAAAGGGAUCAUACAAUAUUUCAUGCCUAGAAACUUUCGUGUGCAGCCAUAAGCCAUUAUGGGCUUUGGCAUAGUUGAGUAAGUUGUUGGAAACCUUUCCAUGAUAGGCUAGCAGAUGUAGGGGAAUUGUAGGUGUACCGGCCUAUCUAUCGGUUAAGGGGACCUCUUCAGAAAGACUAUGUCUCGAUAACCCGGUUCUCAAACAUCAGGCAGUGCAAGUAAAUCAACAGAGGAGAUCGAGUCUUGUGGGAAAAAAUGCGCAAACCUCUGCAGAGUGUACAAACUAGUCAUGAUUAGUCGUGUCCCCGGUUAUGGACAACUAUGACUAUCUAGAAGUGGAUUAUUGGUUGAUCUUAUCAUGUUACGUAAUUAAUGUAUUGGGUUAUUAAUAAUUUGGGAAUUUUGGGAUUGAGUUGGAGGAACUUCUCAAUAAUGGCAUAAACUUGGUAGUAAAAUAAAAAUGUAUUCCUUUGUUGUAGGAAAAAAUUAGCUUUAUGCAAAAUUAAACUUAGAGCCUCCACCAGCCAAAUAUGCAUAUAGAGAUAGACAUUUUCAUCAUUAUUCUAUGGUGUGAAAUUGCCAGUACAUUCAACGUACUGACCUACAUGGCUGCAAAGUCUCAUGUUGCAGGAAUCUUACAACGAGUAAGUGAUACAUUAGGGUUACGAUGUCUACACUCAACUUUGCCGUUGGUGUUGUUGGGACUCCACAACCUUGUUGUUACUUCCGCUAUAUGGAUUGAGGUAAUAGUAUUUACAUUACAUUGUACAUGUGAUUGAACUCUGUUAUAAAUCCUUGAGUACUGUGUGUGUCAGCAUACCGAUCCAGGAAUGACACUUAAGCACAGAGACUUGAUCCAUUGGGGUUGGGUCGCUACAAGAUGGUAUCAGAGCACAUGUUGACUGUAGGACGUGACACCUAGAAACUGGCAAGCCCAUAGGAAAGGAUUUCUCUAAAACUUUAUUUUCAAAAGAGAUCCCUUAACUCUCAUCUUUUCUAAGCUUUACCAAGUUUUUCCUCUCACCUCAAGUAGUUGGACUAUACCCUUUUCCCCUUUUGACCACACGAAGAUUUGACUGAUGAGACCACUCCAAGAAGGAUCCAAUAUCAGACAACUAAUGACCUCUUCGGAGUAAAGAGGAUUUCACCAUGCAUUAGAAGUGUUGAAGCUACAACAGUUGAAUACUCCGAAGACUUGAAGAGUUUGACGACUUUGAAGAUUUAUUGACCUUUAGAAGACCAAACCCCUGUUAUAUACUUAUGUUAGAUGCGACGAUUGUGAGCUAUCAUUUGUUUGAUGUUUUUUCGAGGGCCACACAAAAUAAAAUCGUCUCUUACAAAACUAUUGUUUGUAUUGUGUGUAUCCCUCUCUAUCUCUCUUAUCUCACCCCAAAACCCUUGGAACCAAUAGAGGAUGAAUGAAGAUAGACUUGUAUUGAUAGAGGCGAAGGCGUGCCGUCUUUCGAUGAGAUGGUGGCUAUCGUUUAUGGUGGAGUAGACUUUGACGAUCCGAGUACGAACGUACGAGGACAUCGCGCCUUAGCAAUCGCUAAACCAACUCCGAGAGGUUAUUGACCACGCCGGAGCACGAUCAACCUGACCACGAGGGUCUGUUUCCUGCGAGCAAACGAAGAACAAGCAAGAAACUGAGAUUGCAAUCUCGAUAUUGCGAAUAUAAGAGGAAAGCUUUAUUAAUGAAGGUGGGGUUCCGUAACGCCUUUGUCUGGUCGUUGAACACAAAUGAAGUACGCGAAGUUGCAGCUAUGGCGAACUUUUAAUCUAAACAAAACCCAAGGAAAAAGCUAAUAGAUGGAUCUACUUAUAUAGGAGCAAGGGGUGGCGGCCAUGGAGGUGGGAGGACGUCCCGAGGCAGCCUAAAACUAAUCCUAUGUCGUACAAGGCCAAUGGGCCCAAGUGGAGGUGACGUAACACCUUUGGAGUUGUCGUUUGACUCGGAUUCUGCUGCAGCAUCAGAUUGUUUCGUCCAUAACUCAACGUUCUGAACGAAUUUGAAGGUGAAUCCCAUUGGGUUUGAAAGUGCACGAAAUCCAUUUUCCAACAAAAAAAGAAUCACCCAAUUCGGAGUUAGGAUGAAAAAGUUAUUGACGUUUUGAGUCAGGUAUGUCUGUGCAGUCCGAAUCUGAGUCCAGAACGUGAGAGACUUGGGCUCUAUCCUCUCUUGGGCCAAAAGUGACGUGAGAGAACUUUUUGAACAUCAAGUAAACAUCUCUUUCUCCCUUAUCUUCAUAUGUGGAUUGUACAAAUGUCCCACAGACCUCAGAAAUAUACAUGUAUACUAUAUUUUUGGUCGUAUCCAAGGUAGGCAUUUCCUCAUCAUGUAUUCUCUGGACCGAUGACCCAGCCGGAGGCAGAGCUAUGGAUACAGAACAUAGAGGAUCACUUCAGGAAAAAUUUGAUUGCAAGGAAGUAUGAGGUUCAAUACGCUCUUCAGUACUUUACAAAAAAGUGCCGCUACUUGGUUGAGUAUGUAUCAAGCUAUCAAUGGAUAGCAAGGAGCAACCACUUGGGAAGAAUUUAAGCUGAAGCCUUGUGGAAAUGAUAAGAAUAAACCUUGUGCAUGCAAGCUUUGUGGAGAAAUAAGACACAACCAUAAAGAACACAAGGAUGAAUGCCCUCAUUGUGAAGAAAGUCACCCAGCUGAAGAAUGCCCAACUAGGCAUAUUACUUGUUUCUUGUGUGAAGGGACUACGCACUACCCUGCUGAGUGUCACAUUUACCCCAUGGUACAAUGAACUAUCCAAUAGAAGAAAGAAGUGAUAAAAGAAGCCCUCGGGAAAACUUUAGAAAAACCCACGAUGAAGGAAGAUUUUGAGGACACACCCGAAGAAGACCCAAUUAAACCAUGCACCAAGUCAUGCUAUUCAUGUGGAGAAGAAGGACACAUCUCCCAGAAUUGUCCGAAGGAGGAUCUAGUAGAAUUCCGGACAGAGGAAGUAGAGUAUGACCCACAAGAGAUAGAAGCCCUAAUUGGUACAGAAAAGUCCAGGAAGACAAACAAAAUGUAUCCCCAGAACAACCCAAUUUCUACAAAGAUGGACCUGAGUCAUAUCACAUGUUUCAGGUGCAAAGAUCUAGGGCACUACUUCAGUGGUUGCCCAAAAAGGAAGCCGAGGACCCAAGGAGGCUAUGUAAUCACAAGGAAACCUCCAUACUUGUCAGAAGUAAUAUGUUUCCGCUGUAAUGAAGUGAUGAGGACAUCAAUACAAUUAUUACACCCACAGUCCCUGCUGCUAUACAUACUGGACCAAUUACUAGAGCUCGCGCACGCCAAUUAAAUUACCAGGUACUUUCGUUUCUUGCUAAUGAUUCUAAUGUUCAUGAGAAUAUGAUGCUGCCUAAAUUGGAUACAUUUGUUUUGCUUACAAAUGAAGGGCCUAGCUUUGAGAAGGAUGAACAUUGGAGCAAGAACAAGCAUGGAGAUGAUGGCAUGCGCAUGGGGAACAAGAACGGAGUUACAAGUGAUGAUUUCAGGACGUUGAAGCCACCAUAAUGCGUGCAUGAAGCCUUGGACGAAAUAUACAAGAUGCUACUUCAUAACUUUCGUCCAGAGGCUAUUCUAGGUGCUGCGUCACCUUAUUAUUGGGCCAGGCCCAUGUAAUUUCGAAAUACAUAAGUAUAGGCUGUUUUUAUAGUCCGUAUGUGUGGGGAAACAAGAGAUAGGGUUGGUUUCGGACCCCUUCCUCAAGGGCCACGAAAUUCCCCCCCUCUUCCUCCAUAUAUACAGCCCUUAGGGCGUCGUUUAGACUUUGGGUUUUGUUUAGAUUAAAAGUUCGCCAUAGCUGCAACUUCGCGUACUUCGUUUGUGUUCAGCGACCAGACAAAGGCGUCACAGAACCCCACCUUGAUCAAUAAAGCUUUCAUCUUAUAUUCGCAAUAUCCAGAUUGCAAUCUCAGUUUCUUGCCUGUUCUUCGUUUGCUCGCAGGAAACAGACCCUCGUGGUCAGGUUGAUCGUGCUCCGGCGUGGUCGAUAACCUCUCGGAGUUGGUUUAGCGAUUGCUAAGGCGCGACGUCCUCGCACGUUCGUAGUCGGAUCGUCAAAGUCGACUUCCAUCAAAGCGAUAUUCAUCAUCUCAUCGAAAGACGGGACACCUUUGCCUCUAUCAAGUGGUAUCAGUUUUCAGGUUGCUCGGUGAGAAUUUCCAGUUUCCCCUAGAUUAGAUUUAUUUUCUUACCUAUUGUCCAAGAAAAAGCCACAAAAAAGUUAGAUCUAUUCAUCCUUUUGUCCAACGACCAGACCAAGACCGCUUACGGAUUCCCACCACUAUCAAUACUUCAUAUAUAUUCGCAAUAUUCAGAUUGCAUCAAAUUGACUUAAUUCCCGGUGCAUCGCUACCCAACCGUGCACCAUACCGUACCAAUCCAGAGGAGACGAAGGAGAUUAUGCGUCAAGUACAGGAGCUGCUCGACAAAGGUUAUAUACGCGAAUCUCUUAGUCCUUGUGCUGUUCCUAUUAUACUCGUGCCUAAAAAGGAUGGUACGUCGCGUAUGUGUGUUGAUUGUAGAGGCAUUAAUAAUAUUACUAUUCGUUAUCGUCAUCCUAUUCCUAGGCUCGAUGAUAUGCUUGAUGAAUUGAGUGGCUCUACAAUAUUCUCCAAAGUUGAUUUGCGUAGUGGAUACCAUCAAAUUCGUAUGAAAUUGGGAGAUGAAUGGAAAACUGCAUUUAAAACUAAGUUUGGUUUAUAUGAGUGGUUAGUCAUGCCUUUUGGGUUAACUAAUGCACCUAGUACUUUCAUGAGACUAAUGAACGAAGUUUUACGUGCUUUCAUUGGACGAUUUGUGGUGGUCUAUUUUGAUGAUAUACUGAUUUAUAGCAAAUCUUUGGAAGAACAUUUGGAACAUUUACGUGUUGUUUUUAUUGCUCUACGUGAUGCACGUUUGUUUGGUAACCUUGGGAAGUGCACCUUUUGCACCGACCGAGUAUCUUUUCUUGGCUAUGUUGUUACUCCCCAGGGAAUUGAAGUUGAUAAAGCCAAGAUUGAAGCUAUUGAGAGUUGGCCGCAGCCCAAAACGGUCACACAAGUGCGGAGUUUUCUUGGACUCGCUGGUUUCUAUAGGCGUUUUGUGAGAGAUUUUAGCACCAUUGCUGCACCUCUCAACGAGCUUACAAAGAAGGAUGUGCCUUUUGUUUGGGGUACCGCACAGGAAGAAGCCUUCACGGUAUUGAAAGAUAAGUUGACACAUGCUCCUUUACUCCAACUUCCUGAUUUUGAUAAGACUUUUGAGCUUGAAUGUGAUGCUAGUGGCAUUGGAUUAGGAGGUGUGUUAUUACAAGAUGGCAAACCUGUUGCAUACUUUUCUGAAAAAUUGAGUGGGCCUAGUCUGAAUUAUUCUACUUAUGAUAAAGAACUAUAUGCUCUUGUUCGGACUUUAGAAACAUGGCAACAUUAUUUAUGGCCCAAAGAAUUUGUUAUACAUUCUGAUCAUGAAUCUUUGAAACAUAUUAAAAGUCAAGCUAAACUGAAUCGUAGACAUGCUAAAUGGGUUGAAUUCAUUGAAACUUUCCCUUAUGUCAUUAAACACAAGAAGGGUAAAGAAAAUGUUAUUGCUGAUGCAUUGUCUCGUCGCUAUACUAUGCUUUCACAACUUGACUUCAAAAUAUUUGGUUUGGAGACCAUCAAAGAUCAAUAUGUGCAUGAUGCUGAUUUUAAAGAUGUAUUGCAGAAUUGUAAAGAAGGAAGAACCUGGAACAAGUUUGUCGUUAAUGAUGGAUUUGUGUUCCGUGCUAACAAGCUAUGCAUUCCAGCUAGCUCUCUUCGUAUUUUGUUGUUGCAGGAGGCGCAUGGAGGAGGAUUAAUGGGACACUUUGGCGUGAAGAAGACGGAGGACGUACUUGCUACACAUUUCUUUUGGCCAAAGAUGAGACGGGAUGUUGAGCGUUUUGUUUCAGAUCGUGAUACUAAAUUUCUUAGCCACUUUUGGAGAUGUUUAUGGGCUAAGUUGGGGACUAAACUGCUUUUUAGUACUACUUGUCACCCCCAAACUGAUGGACAAACUGAAGUAGUCAAUAGAACAUUGUCUACUAUGCUUAGGGCUGUUUUGAAGAAUAAUAAGAAAAUGUGGGAAGACUGCUUGCCUCAUAUUGAGUUUGCUUAUAAUCGUUCAUUGCAUUCUACUACUAAGAUGUGCCCUUUUGAAAUUGUGUAUGGUUUCCUACCUCGUGCACCUAUUGAUUUGUUGCCUCUUCCAUCUUCGGAGAAGGUUAAUUUUGAUGCUAAACAACGUGCUGAAUUGAUCUUAAAAAUGCAUGAGUUAACUAAGGAAAACAUUGAGCGUAUGAAUGCUAAAUAUAAACUUGCUGGAGAUAAGGGUAGAAAACAUGUUGUGUUUGCACCUGGAGAUCUUGUUUGGUUACAUUUGCGUAAGGAUAGAUUUCCUGAUUUGCGCAAAUCAAAGCUAAUGCCACGUGCUGAUGGUCCUUUUAAGGUGUUAGAGAAAAUAAAUGAUAAUGCAUAUAAACUUGAGCUGCCUGCAGAUUUUGGGGUUAGUCCCACUUUUAAUAUUGCAGAUUUGAAGCCUUAUUUGGGUGAGGAAGAUGAGCUUCCGUCGAGGACGACUUCAUUUCAAGAAGGGGAGGAUGAUGAGGACAUCAAUACAAUUAUUACACCCAUAGUCCCUGCUGCUAUACAUACUGGACCAAUUACUAGAGCUCGCGCACGCCAAUUAAAUUACCAGGUACUUUCGUUUCUUGCUAAUGAUUCUAAUGUUCAUGAGAAUAUGAUGCUGCCUAAAUUGGAUACAUUUGUUUUGCUUACAAAUGAAGGGCCUAGCUUUGAGAAGGAUGAACAUUGGAGCAAGAACAAGCAUGGAGAUGAUGGCAUGCGCAUGGGGAACAAGAACGGAGUUACAAGUGAUGAUUUCAGGACGUUGAAGCCACCAUAAUGCGUGCAUGAAGCCUUGGACGAAAUAUACAAGAUGCUACUUCAUAACUUUCGUCCAGAGGCUAUUCUAGGUGCUGCGUCACCUUAUUAUUGGGCCAGGCCCAUGUAAUUUCGAAAUACAUAAGUAUAGGCUAUUUUUAGAGUCCGUAUGUGUGGGGAAACAAGAGAUAGGGUUGGUUUCGGACCCCUUCCUCAAGGGCCACGAAAUUCCCCCCUCUUCCUCCAUAUAUACAGCCCUUAGGGCAUCGUUUAGACUUUGGGUUUUGUUUAGAUUAAAAGUUCGCCAUAGCUGCAACUUCGCGUACUUCGUUUGUGUUCAGCGACCAGACAAAGGCGUCACAGAACCCCACCUUGAUCAAUAAAGCUUUCAUCUUAUAUUCGCAAUAUCCAGAUUGCAAUCUCAGUUUCUUGCCUGUUCUUCGUUUGCUCGCAGGAAACAGACCCUCGUGGUCAGGUUGAUCGUGCUCCGGCGUGGUCGAUAACCUCUCGGAGUUGGUUUAGCGAUUGCUAAGGCGCGACGUCCUCGCACGUUCGUAGUCGGAUCGUCAAAGUCGACUUCCAUCAAAGCCCCGGGCAGUUUUUAGGCCAAAAUUUCGGCAACCAAAAAUAUUUUUUCCCUAUCCUAUUUUUAGGCCCCGGGUAGUGUUUUGAGACACUCGCCAUCAUAGUGAUUUUUUGUCGCACUUUUUCGUCGUCGCUGCCCUGAUUUCCGAAAAAAAAAUAGUCAAAAAAUUUUGUGCCCAUCCUGUCAGUUUGACCUGGGAAGAGUUUUGAGACACUCGCCAUUAUAGUGAUUUUUCGCCAAAAAAAAAAGAGCGCAAAAAAAAAGAGCGCAAAAAAAAAGAGCGAAAAAAAAUUCCAGAGUGUGCUUUUCCCUUGUUUACGUGCAGCGCCGUGAUUUUGUUAGUGUUCUAGGCUCGCGUCUCUAGCACGGUCUAGCCUAGGACCAGCACAGUACCGUCGUUGAGCGUUUAUUCAACUUUGCAUCUCUGAAUUGAUUAUUGCUUACCAUUUUGCUACCAUAUUAUAAGCCUUCCCAGCUCCACAUAAGUCUACAUCGUGCGUUUGACUCUCCCUGGUAAUCGCUAUAUCCAAGCUUUGAGAGUUUUUGACUACAACGGUUGCCGAUCACCACCUGCUGCUGGGUAAGAACUGGUAAGAAUUUGAGAUUCGCUUGAAGGUUUUGUGACACACCACCAUCCCACCACUUCUAGUAGUCUGCAGGAUCAUAUUCUUUUGUGUUUCUAUUGCUGCUAACCAUGGCAGGUUCACAAGCCGAUGAGACUGAUUGGGCGAACAUGACGAACAAGGAGUUGCAUGAUAAAUUUCAACAAAUGAUGAGUGGCCAGGUGGGAGAUGUGCUAAACAGAUUUGAAGAGGCUAUGGAGAAGAUAGAUGCCGUGGAGAAGUCGUUUGAGACAAAGCUGGAUAACAAGUUUACUGAAUUACUAAAGCGUCUUCCCCAACCACCACCGGCUGCACAUGUCGCACCUCUACAACAACAACAACCACAUCUCCAACGCCGCCUUCCAAAUCAAGUGGGACGGGCACAGCGCGUUCCAAUUGAGAUUGGUCAAAAUUCGGGUGCUGCUGUCCCUACUGUUGAUGCUUCUUUGGCUCCUGCUCCUGCGGCGGCUGAGGAGGAUGACGAUUAUGCAGGCGAUUAUGAGGAUGAGGUUGAUCAAAAUCAGAACUACGUGCAGCCACCACCACCACCACCAGCAGGUCGACCUCAGGUAUAUAUUCGCAACGGUAGGCCGGCACCACCACCUCAGGUACGCGAUCAUGACCAUCUCCCUAAACUGAAAUUGAAUAUUCCACCAUUUGAGGGUAGAUAUGUUCCUGAUAUAUAUCUUACUUGGGAGUUAGAAACUGAACAACGAUUUACAUGUUUACAAUAUCCUGAGGAGAGACGUGUUCCUGCUGCUGUUUGUGCUUUCACUAGCUUUGCAUGUGUUUGGUGGUCUGAACAUUGUAGAUUAUAUCCUGUUCCAGCUACUUGGGCUGCUUUGAAAACUGCUAUGCGUACUCGUUGGGUUCCACCAUAUUAUCAACGUGAAUUACUUCAAAAAUUGCAGCGUUUAAGACAAGGAAAAAAUUCUGUAGAAGAAUAUUAUCAGGAAUUACAAACUGGCAUGAUUAGAUGUGGUAUUGUUGAGGAGAAUGAAGCUAUGCUUGCACGUUUUAUGGGUGGAUUAAAUAAAGAGAUUCAGACCAUUCUAGAGUAUAAGGAUUAUAAUAAUAUCACUCGUUUAUUCCAUCUUGCUUGUAAAGCUGAACGUGAAGUGCAGGAUCGACAGCCAUUGGCGCGAACUAACUUUUCUGCAGGUCGACCUUCAUCAUGGACACCGCGUGCAUCUUCUACUUCCACGUCACCAUCACCUCCAUCAGGUGCCACCUCCAGCCGUGAUACAAGAAAGCAGGCACAACCACCACUCUCUGCCAAGAGCACACCUGCCGGGCCUGUGCAGAGCUCUUCUUCUUCCAUGGCAUCGACAGGGCACACAAGUGAUAUUAUUUGUCGUCGUUGUAAGGGAAGAGGACAUUUUGCGAGAGAAUGCAAAUCUCAGCGUGUCAUGAUUGCUACUGAGGAUGGUGGGUAUGAGUCCGCUAGUGACUAUGAUGAGGAGACUUUGGCUCUUAUUACACGUGAAGAACAUGGUGGAGAUGAUUCUGAAAAUGAGACGCAAUACAUGGCUCCUGAAGACGCUGACAGGUAUGAAUGUUUAGUUGCUCAACGUGUUUUGAGUGUGCAGGUCACACAAGCAGAGCAAAAUCAGAGGCAUAAUUUGUUCCAUACAAAGGGAGUUGUGAAGGAACGUUCUGUUCGCGUCAUCAUAGAUGGAGGGAGCUGUAACAACUUGGCUAGCAUGGAGAUGGUGGAGAAGCUUUCUCUCACCACAAGACCACAUCCACAUCCUUACUACAUCCAAUGGUUCAACAACAGCGGCAAGGUUAAGGUAACACGUACUGUUCGUGUGCAUUUUAGUAUCUCUACAUAUGCUGAUUAUGUUGAUUGUGAUGUGGUACCCAUGCAAGCAUGUUCCUUAUUACUAGGUAGACCAUGGCAAUUUGAUAAAAAUUCUGUACACCAUGGUAGAAACAAUCAGUAUACUCUUGUUCAUAAGGAUAAAAAUAUUACUUUGCUUCCUAUGACUCCUGAUUCCAUUUUGAAAGAUGACAUUAAUAGAGCUAAUAAAGCAAAACAGGAGAAAAAUAAGAGUGAAAAUCAGAUUGUGGCAAAGGAAUUUGAGCAACAAAUGAAACCUAAUAAUAAACCAUCUAGUGUUGUUUCUGAAAUUAAAUUGAAAAAUGCAUGUUUACUUGCCACAAAAUCUGAUAUUGAUGAACUAGAUUUCAGCAAAUCUGUUUGCUAUGCUUUUGUGUGCAAAGAGGCAUUAUUUUCAUACGAGGACGUGCCUUCCUCUUUGCCCCCUGCUGUCACUCACAUUUUGCAGGAGUUCGCUGACGUCUUCCCACAAGACGUGCCACCGGGAUUACCACCUAUUCGAGGGAUUGAGCAUCAAAUUGACUUAAUUCCCGGUGCAUCGCUACCCAACCGUGCACCAUACCGUACCAAUCCAGAGGAGACGAAGGAGAUUAUGCGUCAAGUACAGGAGCUGCUCGACAAAGGUUAUAUACGCGAAUCUCUUAGUCCUUGUGCUGUUCCUAUUAUACUCGUGCCUAAAAAGGAUGGUACGUCGCGUAUGUGUGUUGAUUGUAGAGGCAUUAAUAAUAUUACUAUUCGUUAUCGUCAUCCUAUUCCUAGGCUCGAUGAUAUGCUUGAUGAAUUGAGUGGCUCUACAAUAUUCUCCAAAGUUGAUUUGCGUAGUGGAUACCAUCAAAUUCGUAUGAAAUUGGGAGAUGAAUGGAAAACUGCAUUUAAAACUAAGUUUGGUUUAUAUGAGUGGUUAGUCAUGCCUUUUGGGUUAACUAAUGCACCUAGUACUUUCAUGAGACUAAUGAACGAAGUUUUACGUGCUUUCAUUGGACGAUUUGUGGUGGUCUAUUUUGAUGAUAUACUGAUUUAUAGCAAAUCUUUGGAAGAACAUUUGGAACAUUUACGUGUUGUUUUUAUUGCUCUACGUGAUGCACGUUUGUUUGGUAACCUUGGGAAGUGCACCUUUUGCACCGACCGAGUAUCUUUUCUUGGCUAUGUUGUUACUCCCCAGGGAAUUGAAGUUGAUAAAGCCAAGAUUGAAGCUAUUGAGAGUUGGCCGCAGCCCAAAACGGUCACACAAGUGCGGAGUUUUCUUGGACUCGCUGGUUUCUAUAGGCGUUUUGUGAGAGAUUUUAGCACCAUUGCUGCACCUCUCAACGAGCUUACAAAGAAGGAUGUGCCUUUUGUUUGGGGUACCGCACAGGAAGAAGCCUUCACGGUAUUGAAAGAUAAGUUGACACAUGCUCCUUUACUCCAACUUCCUGAUUUUGAUAAGACUUUUGAGCUUGAAUGUGAUGCUAGUGGCAUUGGAUUAGGAGGUGUGUUAUUACAAGAUGGCAAACCUGUUGCAUACUUUUCUGAAAAAUUGAGUGGGCCUAGUCUGAAUUAUUCUACUUAUGAUAAAGAACUAUAUGCUCUUGUUCGGACUUUAGAAACAUGGCAACAUUAUUUAUGGCCCAAAGAAUUUGUUAUACAUUCUGAUCAUGAAUCUUUGAAACAUAUUAAAAGUCAAGCUAAACUGAAUCGUAGACAUGCUAAAUGGGUUGAAUUCAUUGAAACUUUCCCUUAUGUCAUUAAACACAAGAAGGGUAAAGAAAAUGUUAUUGCUGAUGCAUUGUCUCGUCGCUAUACUAUGCUUUCACAACUUGACUUCAAAAUAUUUGGUUUGGAGACCAUCAAAGAUCAAUAUGUGCAUGAUGCUGAUUUUAAAGAUGUAUUGCAGAAUUGUAAAGAAGGAAGAACCUGGAACAAGUUUGUCGUUAAUGAUGUAUUUGUGUUCCGUGCUAACAAGCUAUGCAUUCCAGCUAGCUCUCUUCGUCUUUUGUUGUUGCAGGAGGCGCAUGGAGGAGGAUUAAUGGGACACUUUGGCGUGAAGAAGACGGAGGACGUACUUGCUACACAUUUCUUUUGGCCAAAGAUGAGACGGGAUGUUGAGCGUUUUGUUGCUCGCUGCACUACAUGUCAAAAAGCUAAGUCACGACUCAAUCCUCAUGGUUUAUAUAUGCCUUUGCCUGUACCUAGUGUUCCUUGGGAGGAUAUAUCUAUGGACUUUGUUUUAGGUUUACCUCGAACAAAGAAGGGGAGGGAUAGCAUAUUUGUUGUCGUGGAUAGAUUCUCGAAAAUGGCGCACUUUAUACCAUGUCAUAAAAGCGAUGAUGCUGUUAAUGUUGCUAAUUUGUUCUUUCGUGAAAUUAUUCGCUUGCAUGGUGUGCCAAAUACUAUUGUUUCAGAUCGUGAUACUAAAUUUCUUAGCCACUUUUGGAGAUGUUUAUGGGCUAAGUUGGGGACUAAACUGCUUUUUAGUACUACUUGUCACCCCCAAACUGAUGGACAAACUGAAGUAGUCAAUAGAACAUUGUCUACUAUGCUUAGGGCUGUUUUGAAGAAUAAUAAGAAAAUGUGGGAAGACUGCUUGCCUCAUAUUGAGUUUGCUUAUAAUCGUUCAUUGCAUUCUACUACUAAGAUGUGCCCUUUUGAAAUUGUGUAUGGUUUCCUACCUCGUGCACCUAUUGAUUUGUUGCCUCUUCCAUCUUCGGAGAAGGUUAAUUUUGAUGCUAAACAACGUGCUGAAUUGAUCUUAAAAAUGCAUGAGUUAACUAAGGAAAACAUUGAGCGUAUGAAUGCUAAAUAUAAACUUGCUGGAGAUAAGGGUAGAAAACAUGUUGUGUUUGCACCUGGAGAUCUUGUUUGGUUACAUUUGCGUAAGGAUAGAUUUCCUGAUUUGCGCAAAUCAAAGCUAAUGCCACGUGCUGAUGGUCCCUUUAAGGUGUUAGAGAAAAUAAAUGAUAAUGCAUAUAAACUUGAGCUGCCUGCAGAUUUUGGAGUUAGUCCCACUUUUAACAUUGCAGAUUUGAAGCCUUAUUUGGGUGAGGAAGAUGAACUUCCGUCGAGGACGACUUCAUUUCAAGAAGGGGAGGAUGAUGAGGACAUCAAUACAAUUGUUACACCCACAGCCCCUGCUGCUAUACAUACUGGACCAAUUACUAGAGCUCGUGCACGCCAACUAAAUUACCAGGUACUUUCGUUUCUUGGUAAUGAUUCUAAUAUUCAUGAGAAUAUGAUGCUGCCUAAAUUGGAUACAUUUGUUUUGCUUACAAAUGAAGGGCCUAGCUUGGAGAAGGAUGAACAUUGGAGCAAGAACAAGCAUGGAGAUGAUGGCAUGCGCAAGGGGAACAAGAACGGAGUUACAAGUGAUGAUUUCAGGACUUUGAAGCCACCAUAAUGGGUGCAUGAAGCCUUGGACGAAAUAUACAAGAUGCCACUUCAUAAAUUUCGUCCCUGAUAGAGGCGAGGGUCCCGAUCUUUCGAUGAGAUGAUGGAUAUCGCUUUGGUGGAAGUCGACUUUGACGAUCCGACUACGAACGUGCGAGGACGUCGCGCCUUAGCAAUCGCUAAACCAACUCCGAGAGGUUAUUGACCACGCCGGAGCACGAUCAACCUGACCACGAGGAUCUGUUUCCUGCGAGCAAACGAAGAACAAGCAAGAAACUAAGAUUGCAAUCUGGAUAUUGCGAAUAUAAGAUGAAAGCUUUAUUGAUCAAGGUGGGGUUCUGUGACGCCUUUGUCUGGUCGUUGAACACAAACGAAGUACGCGAAGUUGCAGCUAUGGCGAACUUUUAAUCUAAACAAAACCCAAAGUCUAAACGAUGCCCUAAGGGCUGUAUAUAUGGAGGAAGAGGGGGUGGAUUUCGUGGCCCUUGGUGGAGGGGUCCGAAAUCAACCCUAUCUCUUGUUUCCCCACACAUACGGACUCUAAAAAUAGCCUAUACUUAUGUAUUUCGAAAUUACAUGGGCCUGGCCCAAUAAUAAGGUGACGCAGCACCUAAAAUAGCCUCGGGACGAAAUUUAUGAAGUGGCAUCUUGUAUAUUUCGUCCAAGGCUUCAUGCACACAUUAUGGUGGCUUCAAAGUCCUGAAAUCAUCACUUGUAACUCCGUUCUUGUUCCCCUUGCACAUGCCAUCAUCUCCAUGCUUGUUCUUGCUCCAAUGUUCAUCCUUCUCCAAGCUAGGCCCUUCAUUUGUAAGCAAAACAAAUGUAUCCAAUUUAGGCAGCAUCAUAUUCUCAUGAACAUUAGAAUCAUUACCAAGAAACGAAAGUACCUGGUAAUUUAGUUGGCGUGCACGAGCUCUAGUAAUUGGUCCAGUAUGUAUAGCAGCAGGGGCUGUGGGUGUAACAAUUGUAUUGAUGUCCUCAUCAUCCUCCCCUUCUUGAAAUGAAGUCGUCCUCGACGGAAGUUCAUCUUUCUCACCCAAAUAAGGCUUCAAAUCUGCAAUGUUAAAAGUGGGACUAACCCCAAAAUCUGCAGGCAGCUCAAGUUUAUAUGCAUUAUCAUUUAUUUUCUCUAACACCUUAAAGGGACCAUCAGCACGUGGCAUUAGCUUUGAUUUGCGCAAAUCAGGAAAUCUAUCCUUACGCAAAUGUAACCAAACAAGAUCUCCAGGUGCAAACACAACAUGUUUUCUACCCUUAUCUCCAGCAAGUUUAUAUUUAGCAUUCAUACGCUCAAUGUUUUCCUUAGUUAACUCAUGCAUUUUUAAGAUCAAUUCAGCACGUUGUUUAGCAUCAAAAUUAACCUUCUCCGAAGAUGGAAGAGGCAACAAAUCAAUAGGUGCACGAGGUAGGAAACCAUACACAAUUUCAAAAGGGCACAUCUUAGUAGUAGAAUGCAAUGAACGAUUAUAAGCAAACUCAAUAUGAGGCAAGCAGUCUUCCCACAUUUUCUUAUUAUUCUUCAAAACAGCCCUAAGCAUAGUAGACAAUGUUCUAUUGACUACUUCAGUUUGUCCAUCAGUUUGGGGGUGACAAGUAGUACUAAAAAGCAGUUUAGUCCCCAACUUAGCCCAUAAACAUCUCCAAAAGUGGCUAAGAAAUUUAGUAUCACGAUCUGAAACAAUAGUAUUUGGCACACCAUGCAAGCGAAUAAUUUCACGAAAGAACAAAUUAGCAACAUUAACAGCAUCAUCGCUUUUAUGACAUGGUAUAAAGUGCGCCAUUUUCGAGAAUCUAUCCACGACAACAAAUAUGCUAUCCCUCCCCUUCUUUGUUCGAGGUAAACCUAAAACAAAGUCCAUAGAUAUAUCCUCCCAAGGAACACUAGGUACAGGCAAAGGCAUAUAUAAACCAUGAGGAUUGAGUCGUGACUUAGCUUUUUGACAUGUAGUGCAGCGAGCAACAAAACGCUCAACAUCCCGUCUCAUCUUUGGCCAAAAGAAAUGUGUAGCAAGUACGUCCUCCGUCUUCUUCACGCCAAAGUGUCCCAUUAAUCCUCCUCCAUGCGCCUCCUGCAACAACAAAAUACGAAGAGAGCUAGCUGGAAUGCAUAGCUUGUUAGCACGGAACACAAAUCCAUCAUUAACGACAAACUUGUUCCAGGUUCUUCCUUCUUUACAAUUCUGCAAUACAUCUUUAGAAUCAGCAUCAUGCACAUAUUGAUCUUUGAUGGUCUCCAAACCAAAUAUUUUGAAGUCAAGUUGUGAAAGCAUAGUAUAGCGACGAGACAAUGCAUCAGCAAUAACAUUUUCUUUACCCUUCUUGUGUUUAAUGACAUAAGGGAAAGUUUCAAUGAAUUCAACCCAUUUAGCAUGUCUACGAUUCAGUUUAGCUUGACUUUUAAUAUGUUUCAAAGAUUCAUGAUCAGAAUGUAUAACAAAUUCUUUGGGCCAUAAAUAAUGUUGCCAUGUUUCUAAAGUCCGAACAAGAGCAUAUAGUUCUUUAUCAUAAGUAGAAUAAUUCAGACUAGGCCCACUCAAUUUUUCAGAAAAGUAUGCAACAGGUUUGCCAUCUUGUAAUAACACACCUCCUAAUCCAAUGCCACUAGCAUCACAUUCAAGCUCAAAAGUCUUAUUAAAAUCAGGAAGUUGGAGUAAAGGAGCAUGUGUCAAUUUAUCUUUCAAUACCGUGAAGGCUUCUUCCUGUGCGGUACCCCAAACAAAAGGCACAUCCUUCUUUGUAAGCUCGUUGAGAGGUGCAGCAAUGGUGCUAAAAUCUCUCACAAAACGCCUAUAGAAACCAGCGAGUGAUGAGGACAUCAAUACAAUUAUUACACCCACAGGCCCUGCUGCUAUACAUACUGGACCAAUUACUAGAGCUCGCGCACGCCAAUUAAAUUACCAGGUACUUUCGUUUCUUGCUAAUGAUUCUAAUGUUCAUGAGAAUAUGAUGCUGCCUAAAUUGGAUACAUUUGUUUUGCUUACAAAUGAAGGGCCUAGCUUUGAGAAGGAUGAACAUUGGAGCAAGAACAAGCAUGGAGAUGAUGGCAUGCGCAUGGGGAACAAGAACGGAGUUACAAGUGAUGAUUUCAGGACGUUGAAGCCACCAUAAUGCGUGCAUGAAGCCUUGGACGAAAUAUACAAGAUGCUACUUCAUAACUUUCGUCCAGAGGCUAUUCUAGGUGCUGCGUCACCUUAUUAUUGGGCCAGGCCCAUGUAAUUUCGAAAUACAUAAGUAUAGGCUGUUUUCAGAGUCCGUAUGUGUGGGGAAACAAGAGAUAGGGUUGGUUUCGGACCCCUUCCUCAAGGGCCACGAAAUUCCCCCCCCUCUUCCUCCAUAUAUACAGCCCUUAGGGCGUCGUUUAGACUUUGGGUUUUGUUUAGAUUAAAAGUUCGCCAUAGCUGCAACUUCGCGUACUUCGUUUGUGUUCAGCGACCAGACAAAGGCGUCACAGAACCCCACCUUGAUCAAUAAAGCUUUCAUCUUAUAUUCGCAAUAUCCAGAUUGCAAUCUCAGUUUCUUGCCUGUUCUUCGUUUGCUCGCAGGAAACAGACCCUCGUGGUCAGGUUGAUCGUGCUCCGGCGUGGUCGAUAACCUCUCGGAGUUGGUUUAGCGAUUGCUAAGGCGCGACGUCCUCGCACGUUCGUAGUCGGAUCGUCAAAGUCGACUUCCAUCAAAGCGAUAUUCAUCAUCUCACCGAAAGACGGGACACCUUUGCCUCUAUCAUGAAGCAGGGCACUUUGCCAGAGGUUGUCCCAAUGAGAUGGAGACUUGUACUAAUUAGUUGAGUAUAGAAAGAAAUAUAGUAGUAGCGGGAACAUUUCUUUGUAUAUUGAGGUGUUGAGUUGAGGCAUGUAAUGGAAAUAUAGGAGAUUGUAAUAAUUUGAGGAUCAAUAAAGUUAGCAUCGUUAGUAUUGAUUUGGAUUUUAUGAGUUGUUACAAUAUAGGCAAUGAGUAAAAUCAUGGUGUGUGGAAUAAGAUUUUUUUUAGAAGGAAUUUGAAGGUGAAUCCCAUUGGGUUGGAAAGUGCAUGAAAUCUAUUUUCCAACAAAAAAAGAAUCACCCAAUUCGGAGUUUGGAUGAAAAAGUUAUUGACGUUUUGAGUCAGGUAUGUCUGUGCAGUCCGAAUCUGAGUCCAGAACGUGAGACACUUGGGCUCUAUCCUCUCUUGGGCCAAAAGUGACGUGAGAGAACUUUUUGAACAUCAAGUAAACAUCUCUUUCUCCCUUAUCUUCAUAUGUGGAUUGUACAAAUGUCCCACACACCUCAGAAAUAUACAUGUAUACUAUAUUUUUGGUCGUAUCCAAGGUAGCCAUUUCCUCAUCAUGUAUUCUCUGGACCGAUGACCCAGCCGGAGGCAGAGCUAUGGAUACAGAACAUUGAGGAUCACUUCAGGAAAAAUUUGAUUGCAAGGAAGUAUGAGGUUCAAUACGCUCUUCAGUACUUUACAAAAAAGUGCCGCUACUUGGUUGAGUAUGUAUCAAGCUAUCAGUGGAUGGCAAGGAGCAACCACUUGGGAAGAAUUUAAGCUGAAGCCUUGUGGAAAUGAUAAGAAUAAACCUUGUGCAUGCAAGCUUUGUGGAGAAAUAAGACACAACCAUAAAGAACACAAGGAUGAAUGCCCUCAUUGUGAAGAAAGUCACCCAGCUGAAGAAUGCCCAACUAGGCAUAUUACUUGUUUCUUGUGUGAAGGGACUACGCACUACCCUGCUGAGUGUCACAUUUACCCCAUGAUACAAUGAACUAUCCAACAGAAGAAAGAAGUGAUAAAAGAAGCCCUCGGGAAAACUUUAGAAAAACCCACGAUGAAGGAAGAUUUUGAGGACACACCCGAAGAAGACCCAAUUAAACCCUGUACCAAGUCAUGCUAUUCAUGUGGAGAAGAAGGACACAUCUCCCAGAAUUGUCCGAAGGAGGAUCUAGUAGAAUUCCGGACAGAGGAAGUAGAAUAUGACCCACAAGAGAUAGAAGCCCUAAUUGGUACAGAAAAGUCCAGGAAGACAAACAAAAUGUAUCCCCAGAACAACCCAAUUUCUACAAAGAUGGACCUGAGUCAUAUCACAUGUUUCAGGUGCAAAGAUCUAGGGCACUACUUCAGUGGUUGCCCAAAAAGGAAGCCGAGGACCCAAGGAGGCUAUGUAAUCACAAGGAAACCUCCAUACUUGUCAGAAGUAAUAUGUUUCCGCUGUAAUGAAGCAGGGCACUUUGCCAGAGGUUGUCCCAAUGAGAAGGAGACUUGUACUAAUUAGUUGAGUAUAGAAAGAAAUAUAGUAGUAGCGGGAACAUUUCUUUGUAUAUUGAGGUGUUGAGUUGAGGCAUGUAAUGGAAAUAUAGGAGAUUGUAAUAAUUUGAGCAUCAAUAAAGUUAGCAUCGUUAGUAUUGAUUUGGAUUUUAUGAGUUGAUGCAAUAUAGGCAAUGAGUAAAAUCAUGGUGUGUGGAAUAAGAUUUUUUUUAAGAAGGAAUUUGAAGGUGAAUCCCAUUGGGUUGGAAAGUGCACGAAAUCUAUUUUCCAACAAAAAAAGAAUCACCCAAUUCGUAGUUUGGAUGAAAAAGUUAUUGACGUUUUAAGUCAGGUAUGUCUGUGCAGUCCGAAUCUGAGUCCAGAACGUGAGAGACUUGGGCUCUAUCCUCUCUUGGGCCAAAAGUGACGUGAGAGAACUUUUUGAACAUCAAGUAAACAUAUCUUUCUCCCUUAUCUUCAUAUGUGGAUUGUACAAAUGUCCCACACACCUCAGAAAUAUACAUGUAUACUAUAUUUUUGGUCGUAUCCAAGGUAGCCAUUUCCUCAUCAUGUAUUCUCUGGACCGAUGACCCAGCCGGAGGCAGAGCUAUGGAUACAGAACAUUGAGGAUCACUUCAGGAAAAAUUUGAUUGCAAGGAAGUAUGAGGUUCAAUACGCUCUUCAGUACUUUACAAAAAUGUGCCGCUACUUGGUUGAGUAUGUAUCAAGCUAUCAAUGGAUGGCAAGGAGCAACCACUUGGGAAGAAUUUAAGCUGAAGCCUUGUGGAAAUGAUAAGAAUAAACCUUGUGCAUGCAAGCGUUGUGGAGAAAUAAGACACAACCAUAAAGAACACAAGGAUGAAUGCCCUCAUUGUGAAGAAAGUCACCCAGCUGAAGAAUGCCCAACUAGGCAUAUUACUUGUUUCUUGUGUGAAGGGACUACGCACUACCCGGCUGAGUGUCACAUUUACCCCAUGGUACAAUGAACUAUCCAACAGAAGAAAGAAGUGAUAAAAGAAGCCCUCGGGAAAACUUUAGAAAAACCCACGAUGAAGGAAGAUUUUGAGGACACACCCGAAGAAGACCCAAUUAAACCCUGCACCAAGUCAUGCUAUUCAUGUGGAGAAGAAGGACACAUCUCCCAGAAUUGUCCGAAGGAGGAUCUAGUAGAAUUCCGGACAGAGGAAGUAGAGUAUGACCCACAAGAGAUAGAAGCCCUAAUUGGUACAGAAAAGUCCAGGAAGACAAACAAAAUGUAUCCCCAGAACAACCCAAUUUCUACAAAGAUGGACCUGAAUCAUAUCACAUGUUUCAGGUGCAAAGAUCUAGGGCACUACUUCAGUGGUUGCCCAAAAAGGAAGCCGAGGACCCAAGGAGGCUAUGUAAUCACAAGGAAACCUCCAUACUUGUCAGAAGUAAUAUGUUUCCGCUGUAAUGAAGCAGGGCACUUUGCCAGAGGUUGUCCCAAUGAGAAGGAGACUUGUACUAAUUAGUUGAGUAUAGAAAGAAAUAUAGUAGUAGCGGGAACAUUUCUUUGUAUAUUGAGGUGUUGAGUUGAGGCAUGUAAUGGAAAUAUAGGAGAUUGUAAUAAUUUGAGGAUCAAUAAAGUUAGCAUCGUUAGUAUUGAUUUGGAUUUCAUGAGUUGAUGCAAUAUAGGCAAUGAGUAAAAUCAUGGUGUGUGGAAUAAGAUUUUUUUUAAGAACGAAUUUGAAGGUGAAUCCCAUUGGGUUGGAAAGUGCACGAAAUCUAUUUUCCAACAAAAAAAGAAUCACCCAAUUCGUAGUUUGGAUGAAAAAGUUUUUUGACGUUUUGAGUCAGGUAUGUCUGUGCAGUCCGAAUCUGAGUCCAGAACGUGAGAGACUUGGGCUCUAUCCUCUCUUGGGCCAAAAGUGACGUGAGAGAACUUUUUGAACAUCAAGUAAACAUAUCUUUCUCCCUUAUCUUCAUAUGUGGAUUGUACAAAUGUCCCACACACCUCAGAAAUAUACAUGUAUACUAUAUUUUUGGUCGUAUCCAAGGUAGCCAUUUCAUCAUCAUGUAUUCUCUGGACCGAUGACCCAGCCGGAGGCAGAGCUAUGGAUACAAAACAUUGAGGAUCACUUCAGGAAAAAUUUGAUUGCAAGGAAGUAUGAGGUUCAAUACGCUCUUCAGUACUUUACAAAAAUGUGCCGCUACUUGGUUGAGUAUGUAUCAAGCUAUCAAUGGAUGGCAAGGAGCAACCACUUGGGAAGAAUUUAAGCUGAAGCCUUGUGGAAAUGAUAUGAAGAAACCUUGUGCAUGCAAGCCUUGUGGAGAAAUAAGACACAACCAUAAAGAACACAAGGAUGAAUGCCCUCAUUGUGAAGAAAGUCACCCAGCUGAGGAAUGCCCAACUAGGCAUAUUACUUGUUUCUUGUGUGAAGGGACUACGCACUACCCUGCUGAGUGUCACAUUUACCCCAUGGUACAAUGAACUAUCCAACAGAAGAAAGAAGUGAUAAAAGAAGCCCUCGGGAAAACUUUAGAAAAACCCACGAUGAAGGAAGAUUUUGAGGACACACCCGAAGAAGACCUAAUUAAACCCUGCACCAAGUCAUGCUAUUCAUGUGGAGAAGAAGGACACAUCUCCCAGAAUUGUCCGAAGGAGGAUCUAAGAGAAUUCCGGACAGAUGAAGUAGAGUAUGACCCACAAGAGAUAGAAGCCCUAAUUGGUACAGAAAAGUCCAGGAAGAGAAACAAAAUGUAUCCCAAGAACAACCCAAUUUCUACAAAGAUGGACCUGAGUCAUAUCACAUGUUUCAGGUGCAAAGAUCUAGGGCACUACUUCAGUGGUUGCCCAAAAAGGAAGCCGAGGACCCAAGGAGGCUAUGUAAUCACAAGGAAACCUCCAUACUUGUCAGAAGUAAUAUGUUUCCGCUGUAAUGAAGCAGAGCACUUUGCCAGAGGUUGUCCCAAUGAGAAGGGGACUUGUACUAAUUAGUUGAGUAUAGAAAGAAAUAUAGUAGUAGUGGGAACAUUUCUUUGUAUAUUGAGGUGUUGAGUUGAGGCAUGUAAUGGAAAUAUAGGAGAUUGUAAUAUUUUGAGGAUCAAUAAAGUUAGCAUCGUUAGUAUUGAUUUGGAUUUUAUGAGUUGUUACAAUAUAGGCAAUGAGUAAAAUCAUGGUGUGUGGAAGAAGAUUUUUUUUAAGAACGAAUUUGAAGGUGAAUCCCAUUGGGUUGGAAAGUGCACGAAAUCUAUUUUCCAACAAAAAAAGAAUCACCCAAUUCGGAGUUUGGAUGAAAAAGUUAUUGACGUUUUGAGUCAGGUAUGUCUGUGCAGUCCGAAUCUGAGUCCAGAACGUGAGAGACUUGGGCUCUAUCCUCUCUUGGGCCAAAAGUGACGUGAGAGAACUUUUUGAACAUCAAGUAAACAUAUCUUUCUCCCUUAUCUUCAUAUGUGGAUUGUACAAAUGUCCCACACACCUCAGAAAUAUACAUGUAUACUAUAUUUUUGGUCGUAUCCAAGGUAGGCAUUUCCUCAUCAUGUAUUCUCUGGACCGAUGACCCAGCCGGAGGCAGAGCUAUGGAUACAGAACAUUGAGGAUCACUUCAGGAAAAAUUUGAUUGCAAGGAAGUAUGAGGUUCAAUACGCUCUUCAGUACUUUACAAAAAUGUGCCGCUACUUGGUUGAGUAUGUAUCAAGCUAUCAAUGGAUGGCAAGGAGCAACCACUUGGGAAGAAUUUAAGCUGAAGCCUUGUGGAAAUGAUAUGAAGAAACCUUGUGCAUGCAAGCUUUGUGGAGAAAUAAGACACAACCAUAAAGAACACAAGGAUGAAUGCCCUCAUUGUGAAGAAAGUCACCUAGCUGAAGAAUGCCCAACUAGGCAUAUUACUUGUUUCUUGUGUGAAGGGACUACGCACUACCCUGCUGAGUGUCACAUUUACCCCAUGGUACAAUGAACUAUCCAACAGAAGAAAGAAGUGAUAAAAGAAGCCCUCGGGAAAACUUCAGAAAAACCCAUGAUGAAGGAAGAUUUUGAGGACACACCCGAAGAAGACCCAAUUAAACCCUGCACCAAGUCAUGCUAUUCAUGUGGAGAAGAAGUACACAUCUCCCAGAAUUGUCCGAAGGAGGAUCUAGUAGAAUUCCGGACAGAUGAAUUAGAGUAUGACCCACAAGAGAUAGAAGCCCUAAUUGGUACAGAAAAGUCCAGGAAGACAAACAAAAUGUAUCCCCAGAACAACCCAAUUUCUACAAAGAUGGACCUGAGUCAUAUCACAUGUUUCAGGUGCAAAGAUCUAGGGCACUACUUCAGUGGUUGCCCAAAAAGGAAGCCGAGGACCCAAGGAGGCUAUGUAAUCACAAGGAAACCUCCAUACUUGUCAGAAGUAAUAUGUUUCCGCUGUAAUGAAGCAGGGCACUUUGCCAUAGGUUGUCCCAAUGAGAAGGAGACUUGUACUAAUUAGUUGAGUAUAGAAAGAAAUAUAGUAGUAGUGGGAACAUUUCUUUGUAUAUUGAGGUGUUGAGUUGAGGCAUGUAAUGGAAAUAUAGGAGAUUGUAAUAAUUUGAGGAUCAAUAAAGUUUGCAUCAUUAGUAUUGAUUUGGAUUUUAUGAGUUGUUACAAUAUAGGCAAUGAGUAAAAUCAUGGUGUGUGGAAUAAGAUUUUUUUUAAGAAACAAGUGUUUUCAGGGAGAUAGUACCCAACACCAUUACUCGAAUAAAAGAGCUAGUAAUUAGCUACUUUAGACGUUGGAAUGGACCACUCAAUGAUGAGUUUGAGUAAUUACAUCUUAGUUUUGUACCAACAGAAGGAAGGGAGACAGUACAAUUGGAUGGAUUUAAGAAUGCUAGGAAGCUGGAUGUUAGAAUAAUGAUCACUUACAACCCGAUGAUGAGUUCAAAGUUUACAAAUGAUGAGAUGGGCCAUAACCCACAUGCUCCAGGACCCGACAAGAAGUAAGCACACUCUUGCUGAAGGAAAAACCCUGGAAGAAGUUAUGACUUUAUCAACAGAUGAUCUUAUAGAAGUUACGCAAAACCUAAGAGAUGAAAGAAACGAUAGAUGUUUGUUUGGCUUGCAGAAUCAAUGGCGUUAUCCGAACUUCUGACUUGGUUCAUCGACAAGAGAAAUUCUGCAAUGCUGGUGAGGAUGGCCGAGUGUUAGAAUCCAAGAUUCACUAAACCAUAUACAAUAUAAUGAUUUGGGUGCGCAAUGGAUUGAUCACCAUGCCGACUUACUCUUAUUAUUCGCCUCUGCUAUAUGGGAUGGUAAAUCUGAGUGACUUACCCAUAGUAGAGAGACGACGAUACCAAAACCUUGAUUGAACCUUAGAAUGGUAUGACUAUUUUCCCUUGUACAAGGCAGCUGUUGCCAAUCGUAGGUCAUACGGUGAGAAUGAAGCCCAGACCCAUUUCCUACAGGAGAAAUCAUAAAUUGAUGACCACCAUGAGAUAUCGAUAGUUGUUUAGUAUUGGCGCCAGACUUGUCAGCUAAGAAGACCCAGCCUCGGAAGGACCUUACCAAGAUGAAAGGACACAAGAAUUUAGGAAAAGGUUAUGCCACUAUCGGAAGAGCCUAGAGUAGGAAUUCUCCUGAGAAUCUCAGAAGACUGACCCUGUCAACACUAAGGAUGGAGUAUAUGAGUUUUGAUGGAACCAUAACCAUGUUUCUAAGGGUGGUAGCACCCCAAACCUUCAGGACAAUUGAUGGAUUUUGAGGAGACCCUCGAACCUAACCUAUUUCUUGCUAGCCUCUCCGUAUCUCGAGGGCGAGAUACAUUUUAAGGGUGGUAGAUUUGUAACAUACCAAAAUUCCAAAUUUUGGAAUGUUAUAUUAAUUAACUAAUAAUGAUUGCUUGUGUGAUUUGUUAUGUGAAAUUUAGUGGAAUUUGAAACUUUUAGAAAGUUAAAUGAGAGGGAAUAAAAGGACUUUCCCAAACUUUCAUUCUUGCUUUUGGUUCCUUGGAAUUCAAAAUUUAAAUUCAAAACAAACCCUAGAGUGAAGAUAACAGGACUUCUUCCAUUUGAAAUAAAAAGUUUUUUUGAACGAUUUGAUUUCCAUUUGAAACUAAUUCAAACUCAGAAACUUUAUGCCACUCAAGGAUUUUCAUGAGAGAAGAUAUCUAACUUCUUAAAAUAUUUAUGAAAUCGAGUGGGGAGUAACGAGUACCAAUUUCAAAACUUAUUUGGAGCACUACUUGGAAUUUUCUCUUUUCAGUUGGAAUUUCAAAUCAUCUCAAAUCCUCUGAAUAUAUAAUAAUAGAGUGAAGGAAACAUGACCCUUCAAAACUCAGAGAAGAUUUGAGAAAUAUUUUAAUAAAUAAAACAGAAAACUAUUUGCAAAAGAUUUGAAAAUCAAAUUCAAAUCCAAUUUGAAGUUAUUAAUAAAAAUGAUUUUUUGUAAUUUAUUUUUCCUCUGAAAAUUAGUUCAUAUUUUUCUUGGUUUUAUUCAAAGAAUUUUGAUAUAUAAUUUGUCUAUGUAAAAUUUAUGUUAAAUUUCUUUUAUGAAUUUUCUUUCUCUGUUUUACAAAGAAAGGAGAAAGAGAGCCCACCGACCAAGCCAGGCCAGGCCACCCGGCCCAGCCCGGCAGCGGCCUCCACCGCGCCGAACCGCCUCCGCCUCACUCGCCCGCUCCCUUCUUCGCGUGCAUGCCGCCUCGCCCAGCCACCGAUAGGUGGGACCCACCUGUCGGGUUCAUCUUCCCCAAGCCGAGCAGAACUCCUCCUCCUGUACGCCAUCGCCGGCCAACGCCGAGUCCGCCCUGGACUCCUUCUCUCGCCCUUGCCCCUCGCCCAUGCAUCGCCCCGCCUCCCUCCUAUAUAUAGCCAUGACCUCGGCCUCUUUUUCCUCAACCCACAACCCCGAACGCCACCGCAGCCCGCGCCUGCACUCGCUGGAGUUCGAGCCGCCGCUGCAGCGCUGCCGCCUUGCCCCGCGCUUUACCGCCGCCGACGCCGCCGUUGGAUUCGUCUCAACGCGCCGCACCACCCCGACGGCUCCGCCGUCGCCGCAUACCAUCGGAACCGUCGCCGUCCCAAAGCCGAAGCUGCCGCCGCCGUCUUCGUCGCUGGCGACCACAACCGCCGCGGUACGCCACCGGACCCCCUCGUCUGUUCGAUCUAGAUUAGGCGUCCUAGAUUAGAUCGCGUAUUUGUUUUUUUCCUUUUUCUUUCGAACCAGUAUGCGCUAAGUAGUGAACGUUCGUUGGUUUAGAUCCACGGCGAACGGUUUUCAGCCUAUCGUUUUCUGCCACGUGUCCAGGGACGUAGAUGUGAUUUUUUUCUUCAGAUUAGCCCCUGUUUUUCAAACUAGCACAACUUUUCAACCGUUUGUCCAAACUCAGUGACACCAAUGCCAAAUUCUUCGUCAUGAUCUCAACUAUCCAGAGAACUUAUGAAAUCAAGUUUUUGAAAUUUGAAAAUUUGAAUUAGAUCAAAUUUGAAUUUAAACAUGUUUUGGCUAUAACUUGAGUUUUAAAACUCCGAUUUAAUUGAUUCUUUUUGCAAAUCGAAGCUCUUGACAUGUACCUUUUGUUAAGAUCAAAAUCAAAUAAUUUUGCUACUAUCAAAAAUAUGUUUCUUUCUAAAAGCUUUAUUUGAUGGUUUUGAAGUUUUUCGAAGUAUUUUCUUCGUUCUUUUGGAUCUUUGAGUGAUUGCUUAUGUGUGCAAAUAAUUGCUUGCUUACGAUAGAUUGAUCGGAGUGUGACAAGUAGAACUACCAGAAUUAUGAGUGCGAAGAAUCUUCAUCAACAGCUUUAAGGUGGCAAAAUUAACACACAUCUUGGUGGAAUGGUAGGGGCACCCUAGAGAAACCAGUGGCUUGCCCGGGCACCUGGAGAAACUAGUGCUUGCCCAAGGGGAUCCCGGAGGACCCGUGAGAUCACCCUAUGGUGCCACCCGGGCUCAAAGGGAUCAUACGAUAUUUCAUGCCUAGAAACUUUCGUGUGCAACCACAAGCCAUUAUGGGCUCUGGAAUAGUUGAGUAAGUUGUGGGAAACCUUUCCAUGAUAGGCUAGCAGAUGUAGGGGAAUUGUAGGUGUACCGGCCUAUUUAUCUGUUAAGGGGACCUCUUCGGAAAGUCUAUGUCUCGAUCAUCCGGUUCUCAAACAUCAGGCAGUGCGAGAAAAUCAAUGGAGGAGAUCGAGUCUUGUGGGAAAAAGUGUGCAAACCUCUGCAGAGUGUACAAACUAAUCAUGAUUAGCCGUGUCCCCGGUUAUGGACAACUUUGAGUAUCUAGAAGUGGAUUAUUGUUUGAUCUCAUCACGUUACUUAAUUAAUGUAUUGGGUUAUUAAUAAUUUGGGAAUUUUGGGAUUGAGUUGGAGGAACUUUCUCAAUAAUGGCAUAAACUUGGUAGUAAAAUAAAAAUGUAUUCCUUUGUUGUAGGGAAAAAUUAGCUUUAUGCAAAAUUAAACUUAGAGCCUCCACUAGCCAAAUAUGCAUAUAGAGAUAGACAUUUUCAUCAUUAUUCUAUGGUGUGAAAUUGCCAGUACAUUCAACGUACUGACCUACAUGGCUACAACGUCUCAUGUUGCAGGAAUCUUACGACGAGUAAGCGAUACGUUAGGGUUACGAUGUCUACACUCAACUUUGCCAUUGGUGUUGUUGGGACUCCACAACUUUGUUGUUACUUUCGCUAUAUGGAUUGAGGUAAUACUAUUUACGUUAUAUUGUACAUGUGAUUGAACUCUGUUAUAAAUCCUCGAGUACUGUGUGUGUCAGAAUACCGAUCCAGGGAUGACACUUAAGCAUAGAGACUUGAUCCAUUUGGGUAGGGUUGCUACAAUGUGCAUGCAUUUCGAAUUUGAAUUAUGCACAUAAAAUGCCUAGAAAACCUAGUUAACGAAUAAAAAUGUCCAAACGAGCCCCGAAAAAUUCCUAAACUUAACACAACACCCCUAUUGUUCUAUGUUGACACUAGAAUUUUUUUGAAAUCAAUAAGAGGCAACGAAUAUCGUUUCGUCCCCAAAGGUGGCACAUUCCCUACCGAAACAACCAAGCUUGUUGUGAGAAGCUCUGGUUUGUGAGAAGCUUAUACCCAAACCUGCCCCAAAUGGGACAAAAAAUUUACCACGGCAUGUUGAUGCCGCUCCAUGAUAUGCCAAGUUUCAUGAAUUUCUGACAAGUUUUGGAUUUAUUAGAAUUUAAAAACCAGGUAUCUCAACGUUUUGCCGGCAAUCAACAGUGCCCUAGUGUUUGAAAUUCAUUCCCAUUUCUUGGAUGGGACCUAAGCAUGCACCCAAGGACACAUAUUUCAUUUUUCAACCAAUUUAUAUGCACUGGAGCAUGUGCACGUAUUUCAAAUUUGAAUUAUGCACUUAAAAUGCCUAGAAAACCCAGUUAAUGUAUAAAAUGUCCAAACGAACCCCGAAAAUUUCCAACACUUGACACAACACUCCUGUUGUUCUAUGUUGACACAAGAAAUUUUUGAAAGCUAUAAGAGGCAACCGAUAUCGUUUCGUCCCCAAAGGUGGCACGUUCCCUACCGAAACCACCACGCUUGUUGUGAGAAGCUCUGGUUUGUGAGAAGCUUAUACCCAAACCUGCUCCAAAUGGGAAUUUUUUUACCACGACAUGUUGAUGCCGCUCCAUGAUACCAUGCCAAGUUUCAUGAAUUUCGGACGAGUUUUGGAUUUACUAGAAUUUAAACCAGGUAUCUCAAUGUUUUGCUGGCAAUCAACAGUGCCUUGGUGUUUGAAAUUCAUUCCCAUUUCUUGGAUGGGACCUAAGCAUGCACCCAAGGACACAUAUUUGAUUUUUCAACCAAUUUAUAUGCACCGGAUCAUGUGCAUGUAUUUCAAAUUUGAAUUAUGCACAUAAAAUUCUUAGAAAACCUAGUUAAUGUAUAAAAAUGUCCAAACAAACCCCAAAAAUUCCAAAACUUAACACAACACUCCUGUUGUUCUAUGUUGACACUAGAAAUUUUUUGAAAGCAAUAAGAGGCAACGGAUAUCGUUUCGUCCCCAAAGGUGGCACGUUCCCUAGCGAAACUACCAGGCUUGUUGUGAGAAGCUCUGGUUUGUGAGAAGCUUAUACCCAAACCUGCCACAAAUGGGACAAAAGUUUUGCCACAGCAUGUUGAUGCCGCUCCAUGAUACCAUGCCAAGUUUCAUGAAUUUCAGACGAGUUUUGGAUUUACUAGAAUUUAAAAACCAGGUAUCUCAAUGUUUUGCCAACAAUCAACAGUGCCCUAGUGUGUGAAAUUCAUCCCAUUUCUUGGAUGGGACCUAAGCAUGCACCAAAGAACACAUAUUUGAUUUUCGACCGAUUUAUAUGCACUGGAGCAUGUGCAUGUAUUUCAAAUUUGAAUUAUACAAAUAAAAUGCCUAGAAAACCCAGUUAAUGUAUGAAAAUGUCCAAACGAACCGCGAAAAAUUCCAAAACUUAACACACCACUCCUGUUGUUCUAUGUUAACACUAGAAAAUUUUUGAAAGCAAUAAGAGGCAAAGAAUAUCGUUUUGUCCCCAAAGGUGGCACGGUCCCUACCGAAACCACCAGGCUUGUUGUGAGAAGCUCUGGUUUGUGAGAAACUUAUACCCAAACCUGCCCCAAAUGGGACAAAAAUUUUACCACGGCAUGUUGACGCCGCUCCAUGAUACCAUGCUAAGUUUCAUGAAUUUCAGACGAGUUUUGGAUUUACUAGAAUUUAAAAACCAGGUAUCUCAAUGUUUUGCCAACAAUCAACAGUGCCCUAGUGUGUGAAAUUCAUCCCAUUUCUUGGAUGGGACCUAAGCAUGCAUCAAAGAACACAUAUUUGAUUUUCGACCGAUUUAUAUGCACUGGAGCAUGUGCAUGUAUUUCAAAUUUGAAUUAUGCAAAUAAAAUGCCUAGAAAACCCAGUUAAUGUAUGAAAAUGUCCAAACGAACCGCGAAAAAUUCCAAAACUUAACACACCACUCCUGUUGUUCUAUGUUAACACUAGAAAUUUUUGAAAGCAAUAAGUGAAGGAAAUAUGCCCUAGAGGCAAUAAUAAAGUAUUAUAUAUUUCCUUAUAUCAUGAUAAAUGUUUAUUAUUCAUGCUAGAAUUGUAUUAACCGGAAACAUAAUACAUGUGUGAAUACAUAGACAAACAGAGUGUCACUAGUAUGCCUCUACUUGACUAGCUCGUUAAUCAAAGAUGGUUAUGUUUCCUAGCCAUAGACAUGAGUUGUCAUUUGAUUAACGGGAUCACCUCAUUAGGAGAAUGACGUCAUUGACUUGACCCAUUCCGUUAGCUUAGCACCCGGUCGUUUAGUAUGUGCUAUUGCUUUCUUCAUGACUUAUACAUGUUCCUAUGACUAUGAGAUUAUGCAACUCUCGUUUACCGGAGGAACACUUUGUGUGCUACCAAACGGCACAACGUAAAUGGGUGAUUCUAAAGGUGCUCUACAGGUGUCUCCAAAGGUACUUGUUGGGUUGGCGUAUUUCGAUAUUAGGAUUUGUCACUCCGAUUGUCGGAGAGGUAUCUCUGGGCCCACUCGGUAAUGCACAUCACUAUAAGCCUUGCAAGCAUUGUGACUAAUGAGUUAGUUGCGGGAUGAUGUAUUACGGAACGAGUAAAGAGACUUGCCGGUAACGAGAUUGAACUAGGUAUCGAGAUACCGACGAUCGAAUCUCGGGCAAGUAACAUACCGAUGACAAAGGGAACAACGUAUGUUGUUAUGCGGUCUGACCGAUAAAGAUCUUCAUAGAAUAUGUGGGAGCCAAUAUGGGCAUCCAGGUCCCGCUAUUGGUUAUUGACCGGAGAGGUGUCUCGGUCAUGUCUACAUAGUUCUCGAACCCGUAGGGUCCGCACGCUUAACGUUACGAUGACAGUUUUAUUGAUUUUUGAUGUACUGAAGGAGUUCGGAGUCCCGGAUGAGAUCGGGGACAUGACGAGGAGUCUCGAAAUGGCCGAGACGUAAAAAUCGAUAUAUUGGACGACUAUAUUCGGACUUCGGAAAGGUUCCGAGUGAUUCGGGUAUUUUUCGGAGUACCGGAGAGUUACGGGAAUUCGUAUUGGGCCUUAAUGGGCCAUACGGGAAAGGAGAGAAAGGCCUCAAAAGGUGGUCGCGCCCCUCCCCAUGAUCUGGUCCGAAUUGGACUAGGGAAGGGGGGCGCCCCCUUCCUUCUUUCUCCUUUCCCUUCCCUUCUCCUAUUCCAACAAGGAAAGGAGGAGUCCUACUCCUGGUGGGAGUAGGACUCCCCCUUCUGGCGCGCCUCUCCUCCCUAGGCCGGCGGCCUCCCCCUUGCUCCUUUAUAUACGGGGGCAAGGGGGCACCCCAUGGACACACUUGAUAUAUGAUAUUUUAGCCGUGUGCGGUGCCCCCCUCCACCAUAUGACACCUCGAUAAUACCGUCGCGGAGCUUAGGCGAAGCCCUGCGUCGGUGGAACAUCAUCAUCGUCACCACGCCGUCGUGCUGACGAAACUCUCCCUCAAAACUCGGCUGGAUCAGAGUUCGAGGGACGUCAUCGAGCUGAACGUGUGUAGAACUCGGAGGUGCCGUGCGUUCGGUACUUGAUCGGUCGGAUCGUGAAGACGUACGACUACAUCAACCGCGUUGUGAUAACGCUUCCGCUGUCGGUCUACGAGGGUACGUGGACAACACUCUCCCCUCUCGUUGCUAUGCAUCACCAUGAUCUUGCGUGUGCGUAGGAAAUUUUUGAAAUUACUACGUUCCCCAACAGUGGCAUCCGAGCCUGGUUUUAUGCGUUGAUGCUAUGCACGAGUAGAACACAAGUGAGUUGUGGGCGAUAUAAGUCAUACUGCUUACCAGCAUGUCAUACUUUGGUUCAGCGGUAUUGUGAGAUGAAGCGGCCCGGACCGACAUUACGCGUACGCUUACGCGAGACUGGUUUCACCGUUGCGAGCACUCGUUGCUUAAAGGUGACCGGCGGGUGUCUGUCUCUCUCACUUUAGUUGAACCGAGUGUGGCUACGCCCGGUCCUUGCGAAGGUUAAAACAACACCAACUUGACAAACUAUCGUUGUGGUUUUGAUGCGUAGGUAAGAACGGUUCUUGCUAAGCCCGUAGCAGCCACGUAAAACUUGCAACAACAAAGUAGAGGACGUCUAACUUGUUUUUGCAGGGCAUGUUGUGAUGUGAUAUGGUCAAGACAUGAUGUGAUAUAAUUUGUUGUAUGAGAUGAUCAUGUUUUGUAACCGAGUUAUCGGCAACUGGCAGGAGCCAUAUGGUUGUCGCUUUAUUGUAUGAAAUGCAAUCGCCAUGUAAUAGUUUUACUUUAUCACUAAGCAGUAGCGAUAGUCGUAAAAGCAAUAAGUUGGCGAGACGACAGCGAUACUACGAUGGAGAUCAAGGUGUCGCGCCGGUGACGAUGGUGAUCAUGACGGUGCUUCGGAGAUGGAGAUCACAAGCACGGUGCUUCGGAGAUGGAGAUCACAAGCACAAGAUAAUGAUGGCCAUAUCAUAUCACUUAUAUUGAUUGCAUGUGAUGUUAAUCCUUUAUGCAUCUUAUCUUGCUUUGAUUGACGGUAGCAUUAUAAGAUGAUCUCUCACUAAAAUUUCAAGAUAAAGUGUUCUCCCUGAGUAUGCACCGUUGCGAAAGUUCUUCGUGCUGAGACACCACGUGUUAAUCGGGUGUGAUAGGCUCUACGUUCAAAUACAACGGGUGCAAAACAGUUGCACACGCGAAAUACUCAGGUUAAACUUGACGAGCCUAGUAUAUACAGAUAUGGCCUCGGAACACAGAGACCGAAAGGUCGAGCGUGAAUCAUAUAGUAGAUAUGAUCAACAUAGUGAUGUUCACCAUUGAUACUACUCCAUCUCAUGUGUUAAUCGGACAUGGUUUAGUUGAUUUGGAUCACGUAAUCACUUAGAUGAUUAGAGGGAUGUCUAUCUAAGUGGGAGUUCUUAAGUAAUAUGAUUAAUUGAACUUAAAUUUAUCAUGAACUUAGUCCUGAUAGUAUUUUGCAAAUUAUGUUAUAGAUCAAUAGCUCGCGUUGUUGCUUUCCUGUGUUUAUUUUUGAUAUGUUCCUAGAGAAAAAAUUAUGUUGAAAGAUGUUAGUAGCAAAGAUGCGGAUUGGAUCCGUGAUCUGAGGAUUAUCCUCAUUGCUGCACAGAAGAAUUAUGUCCUUGAUGCACCGCUAGGUGAUAGACCUAUUGCAGGAGCAGAUGCAGACGUUAUGAACGUUUGGCUAGCUCAAUAUGAUGACUACUUGAUAGUUUAGUGCACCAUGCUUAACGGCUUAGAAUCGGGACUUCAAAGACGUUUUGAACGUCAUGGACCAUAUGAGAUGUUCCAGGAGUUGAAGUUAAUAUUUCAAGAAAAAUACCCGAGUUGAGAGAUAUGAAGUCUCCAACAAGUUCUAUAGCUAAAAGAUGGAGGAGAAUCGCUCAACUAGUGAGCAUGUGCUCAGAUUGUCUGGGUACUACAUUCGCUUGAAUCAAGUGGGAGUUAAUCUUCCAGAUAAAAUAGUGAUUGACAGAAUUCUCUAGUCACCAUCACCAAAGUUAGUAGAACUUCGUGAUGAACUAUAGUAUGCAAGGGAUGACGAAAGUAAUUCCCGAGCUCUUCCUGAUGCUGAAAUCGACGAAGGUAGAAAUCAAGAAAAACAUCAAGUGUUCAUGGUUGACGUAACCACUAGUUUCAAGAAAAGGGCAAAGGGAAGAAGAGGAACUUCAAGAAGAACGGCAAGCAAGUUGCUGCUCAAGUGAAGAAGCCUAAGUCUGGUCCUAAGCCUGAGACUAAGUGCUUCUACUGCAAAGGGACUGGUCACUGGAAGCGGAACUACCCCAACUAUUUGGUGGAUAAGAAGGAUGGCAAAGUGAACAAAGGUAUAUUGGAUAUACAUGUUAUUGAUGUGUACUUUACUAGUGUUUAUAGCAACCCCUCGGUAUUUGAUACUAGUUCAGUUGCUAAAGUAGUAACUCGAAUUGGGAGUUGCAGAAUAAACAGAGACUAGUAAAAGGCGAGGUGACGAUGUGUGUUGGAAAUGGUUCCAAGAUUGAUAUGAUCAUCAUCGCACACUCCCUGUACUUUCGGGAUUAGUGUUGAAACUAAAUAAGUGUUAUUUGGUGUUUGCGUUGAGCAUGAAUAUGAUUUGAUCAUGUUUAUUGCAAUACGGUUAUUCAUUUAAGUUAGAGAACAAUUGUUGCUCUGUUUACAUGAAUAAAAACCUUCUAUGGUCAUACACACCAACGAAAAUGGUUUGUUGGAUCUCGAUCGUAGUGAUACACAUAUUCAUAAUAUUGAAGCCAAAAGAUGCAAAGUUAAUAAUGAUAGUGCAACUUAUUUAUGGCACUGCCGUUUAAGUCAUAUUGGUGUAAAGCGCAUGAAGAAACUCCAUACUGAUGGGAUUUUGGAAUCACUUGAUUAUGAAUCACUUGAUGCUUGCGAACCAUGCCUCAUGGGCAAGAUGACUAAAACGCCGUUCUCCGGAACUAUGGAGAGAGCAACAGAUUUGUUGGAAAUCAUACAUACAGAUGUAUGUGGUCCGAUGAAUAUUGAGGCUCGUAGCAGGUAUCAUUAUUUUCUGACCUUCACAGAUGAUUUGAGCAGAUAUGGGUAUAUCUACUUAAUGAAACAGAAGUCUGAAACAUUUGAAAAUUUCAUAUAAUUUCAGAGUGAAGCGGAAAAUCAUCGUAAACAAGAAAAUAAAGUCUCUACGAUCUGAUCGUGGAGAAGAGUAUUUGAGUUACGAGUUUGGCCUUCAGUUAAAACAAUGUGAAAUAGUUUCACUACUCACGCCACCUGGAACACCACGGUGUAAUGGUGUGUCCGAACGUCGUAAUCGUACUUUAUUAGAUAUGGUGCGAUAUAUGAUGUAUCUUACCGAUCUACCACUAUCGUUUUGAGGUUAUGCAUUAGAGACAGCUGCAUUCACGUUAAAUAGGGCACCAUCAAAAUCCGUUGAGACGACGCCUUAUGAACUGAGGUUUAGCAAGAAACCAAAGUUGUCGUUUCUUAAAAUUUUGGGGUUGCGAUGCUUAUGUGAAAAGGUUUCAUCCUGAUAAGCUCAAACCCAAAUCGGAGAAAUGUGUCUUCAUAGGAUACCCAAAGGAGACAGUUGGGUACACCUUCUAUCACAGAUCCGAAGGCAAGACAUUCGUUGCUAAGAAUGGAUCCUUUCUAGAGAAGGAGUUUCUCUCGAAAGAAGUGAGUGGGAGGAAAGUAGAACUUGAUGAGGUAACUGUACCUGCUCCCUUAUUGGAAAGUAGUUCAUCACAGAAAUCUGUUCCUGUGACUCCUACACCAAUUAGUGAGGAAGUUAAUGAUGAUGAUCAUGUAACUUCAGAUCAAGUUAACUACCAAACCUCGUAGGUAAACCAGAGUGAAAUCCACACCAGAGUGGUACGGUAAUCCUGUUCUGGAGGUCAUGUUAUUUGACCAUGACGAACCUACAAACUAUGAGGAAACGAUGAUGAGCCCAGAUUCCGCAAAAUGGCUUGAGGCCAUGAAAUCUGAGAUGAGAUCCAUAUAUGAGAACAAAGUAUGGACUUUGAUUGACUUGCCCAAUGGUCGGCGAGCCAUUGAGAUUAAAUGGAUCUUCAAGAGGAAGACAGACAGUGAUAGUAGUGUUACUAUCUACAAAGCUAGAAUUGUCGCAAAAGGUUUUCGACAAGUUCAAGGUGUUGACUACGAUGAGAGUUUCUCACUCGUAUCUAUGCUUAAAUCUGUCUGAAUCAUGUUAGCAAUUGCCGCAUUUUAUGAAAUAUGGCAAAUGGAUAAACAAAACUGCAUUCCUUAAUGGAUUUAUUAAAGAAGAGUUGUAUAUGAUGCAACCAGAAGGUUUUGUCAAUCCUAAAGGUGCUAACAAAAUAUGCAAGCUCCAGCGAUCCAUCUAUGGACUGGUGCAAGCAUCUCAGAGUAGGAAUAUACGCUUUGAUAAGUUGAUCAAAGGAUAUAGUUUUAUACAGACUUGCGGUGAAGCCUGUAUUUACAAGAAAGUGAGUGGGAGCACUACAACAUUUCUGAUAAGUAUAUGUGAAUGACAUAUUGUUGAUCGGAAAUAAUGUGGAAUUAUUCUGCAAAGCAUAAAGGAGUGUUUGAAAGGAGUUUUUCAAAGAAAGACCUCGGUGAAGCUGCUUACAUAUUGAGCAUCAAGAUCUAUAGAGAUAGAUGAAGACGCUUGAUAAGUUUUUUCAAUGAGUACAUACCUUAACAAGAUUUUGAAAUGGUUCAAAAUGGAACAGUCAAAGAAAGAGUUCUUGCCUGUGUUACAAGGUGUGAAAUUGAGUAAGACUCAAAGCCCGACCACGGCAGAAGAUAGAAAGAGAAUGAAAGUCAUUCCCUAUGCCUUGGCCAUAGGUUCUAUAAAGUAUGCCAUGCUGUGUACCAUAUCUAUUGUAUACCCUACACUGAUUUUGGCAGGGGAGUACAAUAGUGAUCUAGGAGUAGAUCACUGGACAGCGGUCAAAAUUAUCCUUAGUGGAAUAAGGAUAUGUUUCUCGAUUAUGGAAGUGACAAAAGGUUCGUCGUAAAGGGUUACGUCGAUGCAAGUUUUGACACUAAUCUAGAUGACUCUAAGUCUCGGUCUAGAUACAUAUUGAAAGUGGGAGCAAUUAGCUAAGAGUAGCUCCGUGCAGAGCAUUGUAAACAUAGAAAUUUGCAAAAUACUUACGGAUCUAAAUGUGACAGACCCGUUGACUAAAAUUAUCUCACAAUCAAAACAUGAUCACACCUUAGUACUCUUUGGGUGUUAAUCACAUAGCGAUGUGAACUAGAUUAUUGACUCUAGUAAACCCUUUUGAGUGUUGGUCACAUAGAGAUGUGAACUAUGGGUGUUAAUCACAUGGUGAUGUGAAUUAUUGAUGUUAAAUCACAUGGCGAUGUGAACUAGAUUAUUGACUCUAGUGCAAGUGGGAGACUGAAGGAAAUAUGCACUAGAGGCAAUAAUAAAGUAUUAUAUAUUUCCUUAUAUCAUGAUAAAUGUUUAUUAUUCAUGCUAGAAUUGUAUUAACCGGAAACAUAAUACAUGUGUGAAUACAUAGACAAACAGAGUGACUAGUAUGCCUCUACUUGACUAGCUCGUUAAUCAAAGAUGGUUAUGUUUCCUAGCCAUAGACAUGAGUUGUCAUUUGAUUAACGGGAUCACCUCAUUAGGAGAAUGGCGUGAUUGACUUGACCCAUUCCGUUAGCUUAGCACCCGGUCGUUUAGUAUGUUGCUAUUGCUUUCUUCAUGACUUAUACAUGUUCCUAUGACUAUGAGAUUAUGCAACUCCCGUUUACCGGAGGAACACUUUGUGUGCUACCAAACGUCACAACGUAAAUGGGUGAUUAUAAAGGUGCUCUACGGGUGUCUCCAAAGGUACUUGUUGGGUUGGCGUAUUUCGAGAUUAGGAUUUGUCACUCCGAUUGUCGGAGAGGUAUCUCUGGGCCCACUCGGUAAUGCACAUCACUAUAAGCCUUGCAAGCAUUGUGACUAAUGAGUUAGUUGCGGGAUGAUGUAUUACGGAACGAGUAAAGAGACUUGCCGGUAACGAGAAUGAACUAGGUAUCGAGAUACCGACGAUCGAAUCUCGGGCAAGUAACAUACCGAUGACAAAGGGAACAACGUAUGUUGUUAUGCGGUCUGACCGAUAAAGAUCUUCGUAGAAUAUGUGGGAGCCAAUAUGGGCAUCCAGGUCCCGCUAUUGGUUAUUGACCGGAGAGGUGUCUCGGUCAUGUCUACAUAGUUCUCGAACCCGUAGGGUCCGCACGCUUAAUGUUACGAUGACAGUUUUAUUGAUUUUUGAUGUACCGAAGGAGUUCGGAGUCCCGGAUGAGAUCGGGGACAUGACGAGGAGUCUCGAAAUGGCCGAGACGUAAAAAUCGAUAUAUUGGACGACUAUAUUCGGACUUCGGAAAGGUUCCGAGUGAUUCGGGUAUUUUUCGGAGUACCGGAGAGUUACGGGAAUUCGUAUUGGGCCUUAAUGGGCCAUACGUGAAAGGAGAGAAAGGUCUCAAAAGGUGGCCGCGCCCCUCCCCAUGAUCUGGUCCGAAUUGGACUAGGGAAGGGGGGCGCCCCCUUCCUUCUUUCUCCUUCUCCCUUCCCUUCUCCUAUUCCAACAAGGAAAGGAGGAGUCCUACUCCCGGUGGGAGUAGGACUCCCCCUUCUGGCGCGCCUCUCCUCCCUAGGCCGGCGGCCUCCCCCUUGCUCCUUUAUAUACGGGGGCAAGGGGGCACCCCAUGGACACACUUGAUAUAUGAUAUUUUAGCCGUGUGCGGUGCCCCCCUCCACCAUAUGACACCUCGAUAAUACCGUCGCGGAGCUUAGGCGAAGCCCUGCGUCGGUGGAACAUCAUCAUCGUCACCACGCCGUCGUGCUGACGAAACUCUCCCUCAACACUCGGCUGGAUCGGAGUUCGAGGGACGUCAUCGAGCUGAACGUGUGUACAACUCGGAGGUGCCGUGCGUUCGGUACUUGAUCGGUCGGAUCGUGAAGACGUACGACUACAUCAACCGCGUUGUGAUAACGCUUCCACUGUCUGUCUACGAGGGUACGUGGACAACACUCUCCCCUCUCGUUGCUAUGCAUCACCAUGAUCUUGCGUGUGCGUAUGAAUUUUUUUGAAAUUACUACGUUCCGAGGCAAAGAAUAUCAUUUUGUCCCCAAAGGUGGCACGGUCCCUACGGAAACCACCAGGCUUGUUGUGAGUAGCUCUGGUUUGUGAGAAACUUAUACCCAAACCUGCCCCAAAUGGGACAAACUUUUUACCACGGCAUGUUGACGCCGCUCCAUGAUACCAUGCCAAGUUUCAUGAAUUUCAGACGAGUUUUGGAUUUACUAGAAUUUAAAAACCAGGUAUCUCAAUGUUUUGCCUGCAAUCAACAGUGCCCUGGUGUUUGAAAUUCAUUCCAAUUUCUUGGAUGGGACCUAAGCAUGCAGCCAAGGACACAUAUUUGAUUUUUCAACCAAUUUAUAUGCACUGGAGCAUGUGAAUGUAUUUCAAAUUUGAAUUAUGCACAUAAAAUGCCUAGGAAACCCAGUCAAUGUAUAAAAAUGUCCAAACGAACCCCGAAAAAUUCCAAAACUUAACACACCACUCCUGUUGUUCUAUGUUGACACUAGAAUUUUUUUGAAAGCAAUAAGAGGCAACGGAUAUCGUUUCGUCCCCAAAGGUGUCGUGGUGUUCGAAAUUCAUCCCCAUUUCUUGCAUGGGACAUAAGCAUAAACCCAUGGACAUAAGCAGAUAAAAGGUCUGGCAAUUCAAACACCGUCCAUUGCCGCUGUGAGCCCAUUAUGUAAUUCAAAUUGAUGGAAAAUCAAGUAGAUCCCACACUGUUUAUUAUCACCAACCGUGUGAGAUGCAGUACAAAAUAUCCUGGAGCACCAUCGUUGUAUAGUACGCCUAUGGCUUACGCGAGAAGGUGCGUCGGCUACAGUCCACAGUAUUACUGCCUCGUAAUCUUGAAAAUAUCUACCGCCUGGAAGGUUUUAAUGUUUGAUAGCACACGAUUAGUAUGUGCGGACCGUGUGCGAUGUCUGAUACUCCCACUCUGCUUUAGUCCCUUGAUUUAAAUUUUCAGUAGCCCCGGCAUUUUACUCCCGCCUCUGCAUCCCUCGCAAUUUCAAAAAUAUUUGCUCACCCUUGACCAAAUUUUCAGUAGCCCCGCCUUAUUACUCCCGCCUAGUAAAAUUUUUAGUUGUCGCAGUAUUUCCUCAAACACAACCUUGCCCUCCCUCCACACACACCACACAAUCCCCAAAACCUCCGCUCACACAGACACAGACCACCCCCGAAAGCAUUGGUAGGUCACCGCCAUCGCCAACGCCUCCAUCCUCAACCUCUGCCUGUGUGCCGGGGAGCUCGAGGAGCCAAUGGCCAAAAAGAGGUUUAUUGCGGCCUUUUUGCCCGACGCCGGCGAGGUGGCCGCCGAGGUGUCCCCGUCGUCCUCCGCGGGCUCGAUCCGCUGUUGCUGGUCCCCCAAUCCGCCCGCCGGCGCGCCCCUAUGCCGGUUCGAGGACUUCCCCGUCCUCCCUCGAACCCGGCAGCCGACGAGGUCCUACCUCGGGGUCCGGCAGCGGCGGUGGGGGACGUGGGUCACCGAGAUUACAGAUCGGGAGACCCACGCCCGCCAGUGCUCGGUAGCUUCCGCACGGCCGAGCUCGCGGUCAUGGAGUAUGACCGCUGGCAGGUCCGCUACCACGGCGCGACGGCUAGGCUCAAUUUCCCUUCGGCACACGUCCGAUCGACCUCGUUCCGCCGGAGCCAGGGGUGGUGAGCUCGAGGCGUGGGAGCGCCUCGAGGCCGAGGCUGCCGAUGAGGCCUACAUGCAAGGGCUCCACCACCAGCACCCGGAGCUCGUGGAGGCGGAGCGGGCGAUCUUUGCCGGCGCGGAGGGUGGCGAGGUUAUCGCGCUCUCCUCCGAUAACAAGGUCGAAGGCGGCGAGGACGGCGGCACGGAGGGCGGCAAGGUUAUCGCGCUCUCCUCCAAUGACGAGGUCGAAGGCGGCGGCGACGGCGGCGCGGAGGGCGUCGAGGUGGGCCCCGAGGACGAGGAGAUGGACGUCGACGAGUGGAGGAGUGCCUUCCCCAACGACCCCGACGACGGCACCGGCCCGGACCCGGCUCGCGGCACACCGUACAUGACGAGGAAGGAUUGGCUUGACCUCUACUUCGACCGAAAGUAGUUUAGCUUAGUUUAAAUUUAUGUUUUAUGUUCGGUUAUGCAAAACUAUCUAUGUUUAUGUUUGAUUGCAUGCUACUUUCGGUUGAACCUGCUUUGAACUUGAUCAUAUUAAAGUUUACGGGAUCGACUAGAAAAGGGCAAAAAUUGCUGGAGUAUAUAUAUAGGACAACACUACUCUAAUCUCAGGAUUAGAAUAGUUACUUCGAUCACGGUGCCCCUAUAUAACAGCGAUGGGGUUUCUCCGAACUCACGGAAACGGUAGCGAAAAAAGAAAAAAAAACCCACUCCCGAUCCCAUCGCUCCCAACCUCCUGCCCCCGCCCCAGAUUCCCCUCACCCCGCGCCGCCGCAUGAUCUCCCCGGGGCCCCCGCCUCCNNNNNNNNNNNNNNNNNNNNNNNNNNNNNNNNNNNNNNNNNNNNNNNNNNNNNNNNNNNNNNNNNNNNNNNNNNNNNNNNNNNNNNNNNNNNNNNNNNNNNNNNNNNNNNNNNNNNNNNNNNNNNNNNNNNNNNNNNNNNNNNNNNNNNNNNNNNNNNNNNNNNNNNNNNNNNNNNNNNNNNNNNNNNNNNNNNNNNNNNNNNNNNNNNNNNNNNNNNNNNNNNNNNNNNNNNNNNNNNNNNNNNNNNNNNNNNNNNNNNNNNNNNNNNNNNNNNNNNNNNNNNNNNNNNNNNNNNNNNNNNNNNNNNNNNNNNNNNNNNNNNNNNNNNNNNNNNNNGACGCCGCCGCCCCACCCCGCCAUCCCCUAGCGGCGCCGCUGCCCCACCCCGCGACUCUGGUGGAUCUCCAGGGAGGUGACAUUCUCGCUACAGCUGACUUGACCUCCGCAAAAAAAGUUUCUCCCUCAAGCGGCGUUCUUGUCGCGUCCACAGGAGUUGAGCUGGAGCGUCUCGGUGGACGAGGAGCAUGACGAUGCAGCCACCGGCCUCCUACCACAGCAAGCGACCGCCGCGGCCAUCCUCCACCUGCCGCUGUAGCCUUCCUCCCCGACCGCCUCCACGACACGCUGGCCUUCGUCUACCUCUGCUCCGCUGCUGCCCAAGGCUGUGUGCGCGAUGGCGGCCCAUGUCGUUUAUCGUCCUGGUUGCGUACGCGUUGACGAGUGAUGCCCCGAUCCAGCUCCUCCAUCCUACAGCCACGGCAAGUCCAAAAGAAAGACAUUCAGUCUAGCAAGCCAAAUGGUUGACCACCAACCCACGCGUGGAUUGGCCCUGACCUGCAGCUGGAGGAGGCCGCGACCUUCAGCUGUAGGAGACGUCGACCUGCAGCUGGAGGAGGCCCCGACCUUCAGCUGUUAAUUUUGAGGAACUAGCUACUCUGAUAAUCUAACUUGACACCGUAUUUGUUUUUGUUCUUCAUAAGUUCAGGCAACUAGGUUGCUAACUAGGAAAACCUUCUCUGGUUGUGCUAACUAGUACGUACUACUAAACUAUAAUAAUCUUGUGAAGUGGAUAAUGCUCGUGCCCCUGGACGCUGGCCAUGUGAGAUUUUGAUGGCUUCGUACUUUUGUUAUUUGAUUUUUGAAUAACAGAAGUUCUCUUCUUUGUCUGUAGAAAACCCCAGUAUGUCACAUUUGUUUGUCGUUAUCCUCUGAAAAAUGGCAUUGUUGCAGGUCAGUUUCGCCUGAUGCAUCAGUUCAGUUGAAAAAACAGAAGAGCAUUAUACCUUAUUGUCUACUCCGCUGACUUCUUUUUCUAUACCAUGUAGGUUAGCUUCGCCUGAUGCGUUAGUUCAGUUUCAUAGUGCACGAUAGGCAUGAUCCAGUAACCAUGGCAUUCCAUCCCCACAACCCGCCGCUGGCCGUCAACCCAACCGCCGCUGUCCCCGGCCACCACACUAGCACUGCCGCUCCUGCGUCUCCGACCACAUUGACCUUCUCGUGAGGGCCACCUUGACCUUCCCAAUGAAGGUUCAUCCAGGGAGUGGACGCUCCCGCCACUCCACCGCCGCGUCGUGCCUGGCUCGUUGCACGUCUCCGCCCUCUGUCACCAGUGCGCUGCCACCGCAUAGAGCUUCCAGCACACUGCCUUGGCCUGCCCUUCCAACGCCAAGCUUCCCUUGUGCGACGUCGGCUACCACUCGUGGCAGAGCGGCUACUUCCCUCCCCGCUGUGCCAGCAGCUAGCGGCCAUUCGCCCCCUGGCCUGUUCUUGCUUCGUUGUCUUCAGAAAAUUUCAGAAAAACUAACUGAACUCAUAUGUUGUUUCAUCAAAAUUACUGUGGAUUUGUACUACUGAUUACUAAAAAGUUCAGAAACGAUUCUCCCACAAACAGAAGUUCAGGUCGCUGUUUGUUGUUAGUUCAGAAUGUCCGGCGGUCGCGGAUCCGGUGGUGCUUGACUGCAGUGAGCCGUCCACGCGGGCACAGCAUCCGAUGGAAGCCGAGUCAAUUGUAGCCAACGCGAGGAGGGGUUAGUAUAGCUGUCUGUGGAGUUCAUAUCCAUACAUGGCGUGCUCUUGGUGGAAUCGGCCAACAUGAAUUUGCUACAGGUUAAUACAACAAGCAAUUCACUUGAGUAGUCCCUUUAACUUGUAGUUGUUGUUGUCAACUCUAGUCAUUCGCUUCUGCAAAAAGUGCUGAUCUUUUUCCUAUUGCGUGAGUAGCUUAGUGGUGGUGGCUUUGGAGAUGGAUGAGAACAAAGGUGUGUGUGUGUGGUAGAAAAAAGGGUCCACGAAACUUGUAUUUUCUUCAUAUAUACUCUGGUUAUUUUGGUCGUUGGACUAUGGAUGUUUACGACAUUGGACUGCUCUGAUUUUAUUGAACAUAUAAAAAAAUGGAAGCACAGCGCAUGUUCUGGGCACUUGAGAAGACAAGGAAAUGAUUGGGAUGAAAACAUGUGGUGGUAAAAAUUCCACAGUUUUUCAGUUUAAAAGAACCAUUCUCAACUUUUGUAGUCAUUUAUUUUGCUCUGUUCAGCCUAUGCAAAAAAGGAAGCAAGCUCAUGCAACUUGUUACAAAUCAUUUUUUCAUUAAAUAGGUUGCAAAAAAAAGUGUAAGCAUAUGUGUUUACCAUGCCGCACUAGGCCCAUCAUUUAUUUGUUCCCCCUUUUUAGGAAUACUUGUUAAAUGGCUACUCGUUUGUACAUAUGUUAAAUAAUAUUCACUUCCUCUCAUGUGUUAAAAAUACUGGCAACUCUGAACCUAAAACAAGUUCAGCUAUGAGAACACACGAAAUUCAAAUAGUACAUGUGCAAAAAAGCCUCCCUUGUAGUUAUGAAACAAACAUGCACUAUAUUAAAGCCUAUGGACAAAAUCAAUCAUUGUGAAAAAGUAGUGCGCCGAUCAAAAAAAUUGUUUAUAAACAAUUUACAGAAUUUAAAUUAAAAACACAAAGAUGAUUGAUCUUUGUACAAAAAUAUAUUUUCUGAUUUCUAAAAAAACAAGGUGAGAUUAAAACAAAAUAGAAAUAAUUAAAAAAAAUAAACAAAAAGGAUUGUCCUUGUUUCUAAAAAACAUAGAAGUUCAAGUUUCAAUAAAGGGGCGGUUUGAUGUUUAUUAGAACACAAGGGCUUCCUCCAUUACUAAAUAAUAAACCAAGAAGUUUAAAUUAAAAAGAUAGAGAAGUUCAAAACUUUUUGACGAGAAUUUCAUAAGAAGUUCAAACCAAAAUGACAAAGUAUUUAAAAAAUAACACAAAACUUUGAAGCAAGUAUUUCACCGUUUCUAGAAUACAUAAAUUUUCGUGUUUUUAAUUAAAUCUCAAGAAGUUGAGAUUAAAAUAACAGAAUAGUUAAAAUUAUGGAUUAAAAAUACAUUUUCUCCAUUUCUAGGAAAAACCUAGAUGUUUAACUUUAAAUAAAGAAGCAAUCCAAAUUUAAAUAAUGAAGCGAUUACAAAACUCAAAAUUCCUCAUUAAUAAAAAAUAAACUAAGAAGUUCAAAUUCAAAUAAUAGAGCAGUGCGAUUUUUAUAAUUCAUGAAGAAAACAAAAGGCCUCGCCUAGAAAAUGUUAACUCUCAAAGUUCAAAUUUUUCCAUUACUAAAGCGAAACAGAGAGAAGUUCAAAUUGAUAAUAGCCCGAAGUUCAUGUACUGCAUGUGUGUGUGUUUGUAUGAGAAAAAAUGAAUAAAAACGAAGUCUAAAAAUUUUGUUGCUAGAAGUUCAAGUGCUAAGCCCGAGAAAGUUCAAAAAGUUCCUCCUAUUCAACAACUUUCCAAGGGUAUAUAAUAUUCUUAUUCCAAAUAAAGGGUUAAUACAAAUUGGUGUAUCUUGUUCGAAACAAAAGUUAAACCGUGUUAGAAAAAGUUACAUCUUUUCAACAGGUUUCUGAUGGUAUAUCAUUUGUGCAACACUGACGAAACGGAUGAGUAAUCGCGAACAAAAAUAUGUGACAGAAGUUCAAGGUGAAAACAACGAGCAGUUCAAUUACUAUACGCUAUGCGUUUCGGAAGAGAAUAGAAGAAUAAAAAAGUAAAAGCCUAAAAGGUUUGUUGCAAGAAGUUCACGUGCUCCACCCUGAACGGUUUGGAAAUUAUAUUACGAGACUCCGACCUUCAAUUACAUGUUUAAAAAAAGAGGCAAAAACAACAUUGUGUUUGCCAUUUUUAAAACUGCUCUCAAACGGCAACAAAUUUGUAACACGUGUCUACAUGAAAAAGUUGCUCCUAUUCAUAAGCUUUCCAAUGGUAUAUUAUAUGCUAUAUUCCGACGAAUGGUUUAAAAGUUUUUAUGAAAAAUUGAUUAACACAGGAAAGUUGCGAGUUUUCAAUAGCUUUCCAUCGGUAUAUCAUUCCACAAUUCCGGUAAGUGGUUUGGAGCUACGGGCAAAAAACAACACGUCAAAAAUAGAGUGAAGUUCAAACAGACAUGCCCCAGAAAUUCAACUACUUCACGCAGUGCAUUUCCGUUCGUGAUGAACGCGGAAAUCAUGAUCUCGCCAUUUUUUAAUUUACUUCAAAACGGCAGGAAUAUCAUUUGUGUAAGUUCAAGUCCUCGGUCGGAGAAAGUUAAAAAAUAUAUUGUGAGAGAGGUUUGUACAAAAGGAAUAUUAUUUGUGUAACACUGACGAAUGAAUGAGGAAAUUACAAACAAAAAUACGUCAUAGAAGUUCAACGUGAAAACAGCAGGAAGUUCAACUACUACGCUGAAUGAAUUUUAGAUGAAAAACUUUUAAAAUCGUCAGUAAAAUCUGAGUUUCAAUGUCAUUGGUGCGGCGCAACUGGUUCAAUGCUUGUUAUAAACCCAAAGAAGGUCAUUAAAAAGCAUCUCAAACAAUUUUAUAAAAAAGAUUUUCUCUCAUAAAAUAAACCUAGAAGUUAAAAUUUAAAAACAGAGCGGCUCGAUGUCUAUCAGAAAGUAGGAUUUUUUCCGUUACUAAAAGAAAUAAAACCAGGAAGUCCAAUUUAAAAAGAUGGAGAAGUUCGAUGAUUAUAGAAAACUCAGAUUUUCCUCGUUAUUAAAGAAUGGAAAUAAGAAGUUCAAAAAUUAAUUAACAAGAAGUUCAACUUUAAAAAAUAUAGCGAUUCAAAAUUUCAUAAAAAAGAUUAAGAAAAAAACCAGAAAGUCCAUAUUAAAAAGAUGGAGAAGUUCGAUUAUUAUAGAAAACUCAUAUUUCCCUCGUUAGUAAAGAAUGGAAACAAGAAGUUCAAAAAUAAAAUAACAAGAAGUUCAACUUUUAAAAAUAGAGCGCUUCAGAAUUCAUAAAAAAAGGAUUAAGAAAUUCAGAUUAAUAUUCAUAAAAAACUCAGAUAUUUUCGCGAAACCGAGAGAAGUUCAGAUUGAUAACUGCAGAAGUUCACGUACUACACGGUGUGCAUUUUGUAUUAAAAAAGAAUAAAGAGACAAAGACUAAAACUUUUGUUUUUAUAAGUUCAAGUCCUCGGUCGGAGAUAGUUAAAAAAAUUAUUGUGAGAGAGGUUUGUACAAAAGGAAUAUCAUUUGUGCAACACUGACGAAUGGAUUAGAAAAUUAGAAACGAAAAUACGUCACAGAAGUUCAACGUGAAAACAGCAAGAAGUUCACCUACUACACUGAAUGAAUUUCAGAUGAAAAAACUUUUAAAAUCAUCGCGAGUAUGAAAAAAUGAUCAACACGGGAAAGUUGCGUGUUUACAACAGCUUUCCAUUGGUAUAUCACUUGCUCAAUUUCGGUGAGUUAAUGGAGAGCUACGAGCAAAAAAAAGCACAUGGAAAAUAGAGUGAAGUUAAGGUAGACAUGCCGAGAAGUUCAAUUCUUCACGCGGUGCAUUUUCAGAGAAUCUCUUUCGCGCUAGAGGCAGAACAAAUGAUCUCGCCGUUUUCGAAAUUACUUGAAAAUGGCUAGGAAUUAGACAAAACCGUCAACAUGAAAAAGUUUUGCAUUUUCUGUAGCUUUUCAACGGUAUAUUAUUUGCCCCAUUGCGAUAAAGUUUGUAGAAAUUACGGUGAAAAUACGUUUUUGGCCAUUUUCAAAAGACUUAAAACCGUAACGAAUUGUGAUGAGGACAUCAAUACCAUUGUUACACCCACAACCCCUGCUAUUAUACAUACUGGACCGAUUACUAGAGCUCACGCACGCCAAUUAAAUUACCAGGUACUUUCGUUUCUUGGUAAUGAUUCUAAUGUUCAUGAGAAUAUGAUGCUGCCUAAAUUGGAUACAUUUGUUUUGCUUAUAAUGAAGGGCCUAGCUUGGAGAAGGAUGAACAUUGGAGCAAGAACAAGCAUGGAGUUGAUGGCAUGCGCAAGGGAGACAAGAACAGAGUUUCAAGUGAUGAUUUCAGGACUUUGAAGCCACCAUAAUGAGUGCAUGAAGCCUUGGACGAAAUAUACAAGAUGCCACUUCAUAAUUUUCGUCCAGAGGCUAUUCUAGGUGCUGCGUCACCUUAUUUUGGGCCAGGCCCAUGUAAUUUCGAAAUACUUCAAUAUAGGCUGUUUUUAGAGUCCGUAUGUGUGGGGAAACAAAAGUUAGGGUGGGUUUCGGACCCCUCCUCCAAGGGCCACGAAAUUCCCCCCCUCUUCCUCCAUAUAUACAGCCCCUAGGGCAUCAUUUAGACUUUGGGUUUUGUUUAGAUUAAAAGUUCGCCAUAGCCGCAACUUCGCGUACUUCGUUUGUGUUCAACGACUAGAUAAAGGUGUCACAGAACCCCACCUUGAUCAAUAAAGCUUUCCUCUUAUAUUUGCAAUAUCCAGAUUGCAAUCUUAGUUUCUUGCUUGUUCUUCGUUUGCCUACAGGAAUCAGACCUUCGUGGUCAGGUUGAUCGUGCUCCGUCGUGGUCAAUAACCUCUCGGAGUUGGUUUAGCGAUUGCUAAGGCGCGACGUCCUCGCACGUUCGUAGUCGGAUCGUCAAAGUCGACUUCCUCCAAAACGAUAGCCUCCAUCUCAUCGAAAGACGGGACACCUUUGCCUCUAUCAAGUGGUAUCAGAUUUCCAGGUUGCUCGGUGAUAUUUUACAGUUUUUCGUAGUUUAGAUCGAGUCUGUUCUUCAUACCUAUAGUCCAUGAAAAAGCCAAAAAAAAUAUUAGGGUUAGUUCAUCUUAUCCGAACCAAUCUGAGCCUUUGCAUAAUAUUUUCUGUAUUUGCUUUGUUGAAUUUGCGGUUGCAUCGUCGUGUCAAGUUGCUGGUUCUAGCGUCUAGUACUUUAGAGUUUCGAGUUCUGUUCACAAGUUGUCUCGCCGCCGCCGCACCAUCGUCAUCACCGCUGCCAUAUACCACCAUUGUCAUCACCGUUGCCAUAUACCACCAUCAUCAUCACCGCUACCAUAUACCACCAUCGUCAUCACCGCUGCCAUAUACCACCAUCGUCAUCGCCGCUACAAGAUACCACAUAUCCACCGCCAUCACGCUAAUCCAAGUCCACCUCCAUCACAGAUUCGCCACCAGUCCGUGUUCCAUUGCCCUGCAAAUAUCCGCCACCAGUCCGAGUUUCCACCAGAUUCAUCUCUGCCACCAGUCCUAGUCCGAGUCCAGUAAUUAUUGCUUUGCGCUCGAUUUCCAGAUCACGCAAUACUCCGAGUCGUGACAGAGUAGGACUCCCCAACUUCCGAGCCAUCCGCAGAAGAAAAAUAGUUCCAGUUUAAAAAAAAAACUAAGUCUGGAAAAAUCUAGCUAGGCAGUUUUUAGGACAUUUGUAGACUUUUUUGAAAAAAAAUUGUUGCGGAGCAAAAAAAAAGAGGAAAAAAAGUGCAAAAAAAAGUGAAAAAAGAAAAAAAAUUCAGAGUGUGCUCCUCCCUUGUUUACGUGCAGCGCCGUGAUUUUGUUAGUGUUCUUGGCUCGCGUCUCUAGUACGGUGUAGCCUAGGACCAGCACAGUACCGUUGUUGAGCAUUUAUUCAACUUUGCAUCUCUAAAUUGAUUAUUGCUGACCCUUUUUGCUACCAUAUUAUAUGCCUUCCCAGCUCCACAUACAUCUACAUCGUGCGUUUGACUCUCCCAGGUAAUCGCUCUAUCCAAGCUUUGAGUGUUUUGACUACAUCGGUUGCCGAUCACCGCCUGCUGCUGGGUAAGAACUGGUAAGAAUUUGAGAUUUGCUUGACGGAUUUGUGGCACCCACCACCACCACCACUUGUUAGUAGUCUAUAGGAUCAUAUUUUUGUGUGUUUCUAGUACUGCUAACCAUGCCAGGAUAACAAGCCGACAAGAUUGACUGGGAGAACUUAACGUACAAGGAGCUUCAUGAUAAGUUUCAGCAAAUGAUGACUCAACAGGUGCAAGAUGUGCUGAACAAUUUUGAAGAGGCCAUGGAGAAGAUCACUGGCCUUGAGAAGAUGUUCGAAACAAAGCUCGAUAACAGAUUUAAUGAACUGCUUGCGCGUCUUCCACCACCGGCUGCACCUGCCGCACAUCUGCAACAACAACAACAACGACUACCUUCAUGUCGGGAAACAGCCCUCCGCCGAGCGAGUCGUGUCCCUCUUCAGCCUGGCCAAACAGCUGGUGCUGCUGUUGAUACUUCUGUGGCUCCUGCUGCUGAUGUGGAGGAGGAUGAUUAUGCGGGAGAUUACGAGGAUGAGGUUGAUCAAAAUCAGAACUACGUGCAACCACUAGCACCACAACCACCAGGUCGUCCACACGCAAAUAAUGGCAAUGUUAGGGCUCCCCCUCAGGUACGAGAUCAUGACCAUCUCCCUAAACUGAAAUUGAAUAUUCCACCAUUUGAGGGUAGAUAUGUUCCUGAUAUAUAUCUUACUUGGGAGUUAGAAACUCAACAACGAUUUACAUGUUUACAAUAUCCUGAGGAGAGACGUGUUCCUGCUGCUGUCUGUGCUUUCACUAGCUUUGCAUGUGUUUGGUGGUCUGAACAUUGUAGAUUAUAUCCUGUUCUAGCUACUUGGGCUGCUUUGAAAACUGCUAUGCGUACUCGUUGGGUUCCACCAUAUUAUCAACGUGAAUUAAUUCAAGAAUUGCAGCGCUUAAGACAAGGAAAAAAUUAUGUAGAAGAAUAUUAUCAGGAAUUACAAACUGGCUUGAUUAGAUGUGGUAUUGUUGAGGAGAAUGAAGCUAUGCUUGCACGUUUUAUGGGUGGAUUAAAUAGAGAGAUUCAGACCAUUCUAGAGUAUAAGGAUUAUAAUAAUAUCACUCGUUUAUUCCAUCUUGCUUGUAAAGCUGAACGUGAAGUGCAGGAUCGACAGGCAUUGGCGCGAACUAACUUUUCUACAGGUCGACUUUCAUCAUGGACACCACGUGCAUCAUCUACUUCCACUGCACCAUCACCUCCUUCAGGUGCCACCUCCAACCGUGAUACAAGAAAGCAGACACAACCACCACUAUCUGCCAAGAGCACACCUGCCGGGCCUGGACAGAGCUCUUCUUCCAUGGCGUCAACAGGGCACACAAGUGAUAUUAUUUGUCGUCGUUGUAAGGGAAGAGGACAUUUUGCGAGAGAAUGCAAAUCUCAGCGUGUGAUGAUUGCUACUGAGGAUGGUGGGUAUGAGUCUGCUAGUGACUAUGAUGAGGAGACUUUGGCUCUUAUUACACAUGAAGAACACGGUGGAGAUGAUUCUGAUCAUGAGACGCAAUACAUGGCUGCUGAAGAUGCUGACAGGUAUGAAUGUUUAGUUGCUCAACGUGUUUUGAGUGUGCAGGUUACACAAGCUGAGCAAAAUCAGAGGCAUAAUUUGUUCCAUACAAAGGGAGUUGUGAAGGAACAUUCUAUUCGCGUCAUCAU